UGCUAUCGGAGCGUUAAUGUAUCUAGCACAAUGCACUCGACCUGAUAUCGCUUUUGCGGUAAAUGUGCUUGCGCGGUACAGUUCUGAGCCUACCCGGAGACACUGGAAUGGUGUUAAACAUAUUUUUAGAUAUCUUCGUGGCACUGCAGAUUUGUAAUUAUUUUAUUCAAAGAAUGCAACUAACCAAGGGUUAGUUGGUUAUGCCGAUGCGGGAUAUAGAUCUGAUCCCCACAAAGCUCGUUCACAAACUGGAUAUUUGUUUUGUUAUAAUGGUGCAGGUAUAUCUUGGCGAUCUACCAAACAAACAUUAGUGGCCACCUCAUCAAAUCAUUCAGAAAUAAUAGCUCUUUAUGAGGCAUGCAGAGAAUGUGUUUGGCUAAGAUCGGUUAUAUCGCAUAUACGAAAUUCCUGCAAAUUACAUCCAGUUACAAACACGCCCACAGUCAUUUACGAAGACAAUGCUGCUUGUAUAGCGCAAACAAGGGGCGGAUACAUAAAAGGUGAUAGGACCAAACAUAUAUCACCAAAGUUCUUCCACACACAUGAGCUUCAGAAGAAUGGAGAGAUCGAUGUUCGACAAGUUCGCUCAUGCGACAAUCUUGCUGAUUUGUUUACAAAGUCCUUGCCUACUUCUACAUUUGAGAAAUUGGUAUAUAACAUUGGCAUGAGAAGAGCCAAUGUGACUCAAGACUGAGAGUCCAUCCUGGGACUUAUACUGCUCAUUUCAGGAGAAGCCAUGAUGUGCUACACUCUUUUUCCCUUAUGACUGGUUUUGUCCCAUUGGGUUUUCCAGCAAAGGUUUUUAACGAGGUAGCCUAUACACAUGACGUUGAUUUUAAGGAAAUGAUGUUUCGUCCAAGGAGGAGUGUUAUGACCACAUGGACUCAACCAAUAGAAUUAGGUAUAUACAUAUGCCUUCACGUGAUCUUCAUAUGUAUGCCUUGUAGACCAUUGUAUUAAUACGUGUAUUAAUUUUAAUUAAUGACUAUCUAAAACAUAUGCUUCGUGUCAUAUAUGUAAUAGGUAAUCUCAUGUAUAAAUAGAUGUAAUCAGGUGAGAUGAAGAAUUACCUUUUAUUAUAAAACAUAAUUUCUAUACAGAAGCUUUGAGUGGCUAUAUUCCCUUGUUUUCUUGUAUUAAUUCUAGUAUAGUCUCUUUAUAUUAUAUUUUAUACUAUAUUCUACAACACGUUAUCAGCACGAGCUUUUGCUCUACAAAUUUAUAGGUUUGUAAAAUUUAUCUUUUUGUUGUACUAUUUCUACUUAUUUUAUUUUACGAUGGCCGGAAUCGAAAAACAAAAAUUUCAAAUCUUUGAUGUUACCGGCAGUAACUUUUUAUCCUGGUGCUUAGAUAUCAAAUUACACCUCCAAGGGCUAGAUCUUGUAAAAGCCUUGGAUUGUGUAGAUAUCAAGGAGGCAAACAGGAAAGAUGAGGCAAAUGCUAUGAUUUUUAUUCGUCAUCAUCUUUCCGAGGAUUUGAAAGACGAAUAUAUACAACUUGAAAGGCCAUCAGAGAUAUGGCAAAAACUCAAAGAAAGGUUUGAUCACACAAAAACUGUGAUUCUCCCACAGGCCCAAUACAAUUGGCAGCAUCUAAGGCUGCAGGAGUUCAAAUCUGAUUGAAGAUAAUCGAAACCCCAAAGUGAAGGCUUGUAGUUUCCGGUUCGUCGAACAGUUGGAUUAAUAACGAGAUCAUCGCAAACGGCCUUUGCGUUGCAUUUUAACGAUGAACAGUUAGGCUUUAUUACAAGGGAGGGCACAAACCACGCUUUUAGAUGUUUUCUCGUGCUAAAGGAAGAAAUACAAUCUACGGGCUUGUUCGAAAUCGCUAGUUGCAUUAUAAUGCUACACAUUUUAUUUUGAUGACAAAAAAAUAUAUGUGUUUGCUUUUUCUUGGGUGCCUAAGGUUAGCGUUAUAUUGAUUUUUUUUAUUUUUUUUUUUGUAUAAUAUGAUAUUACAAUAUUGCAUUUCCAUCCUUCAAUUAAAAGCCAAAUCUCACUAAUAGUCCCUCAUCUUAAUGUUUAGUUCCACUUUAGUCCCUCAUGUCCCAAUUGUCUCAUGAUCAUUCUCCAACUCUACAAUCUAUCUCAAUAUAGUACUUCGGUGUAUAAUUUAGUUAACUUUAACAGGAUCUUUUAGUUAUUGGAUUAUAUUCUAUUCUUAUAAUUAUUUGUAAUAAACUAUAAAUAAAUUAAUAAAAACUAGAAAAAACAUAUAUAAUUGGAUUAGUUCUUUAAAUAUUAACAUAAGAUCAUAGAAAAAAAAUGAUAGAGAAUAUAUGUAGAUGACAUAUUAUAAUUAUUUAAAUACGUUUCUAGAUUCAAGUCAUAUAUCCACAAAAUAAAUGAUUCGUUUUAUAUUAAUAUAAAUUAAUAUUUCAUAAAAAUAGUAGUUUUUUAAGUUAUUUAUUUUCAAGCUACAUUCUUGUUGGUUGCAAAUAUUAUUUUUAAAUUACAAACUUUAUUAUUUAUUGAAAAAAGUCACAAUUUAUCAAAAAUAAUUCUAACAAUGGAAUAUUCCACCAGUCUUUAAAAAGAUUUCGUUAAAGUUAACAUGUUUAUUAACCAAGGGAUGAUAAUGAGGUGGAUUACAAAGAUCAGGGAUAAAAAUGAGACAAUUAAGACACGAGGGACCAAAGUGAGACUAAAUGUGAAAAUGAUGGACCAUUAAUAAAAUUUGGCCUCAAUUGAACGUUUUUAUAUGUAGGGAACUUUAAUUGACCAUUUUGUCCCUUUGAUAUAAAGGUAGGGCUAUCUAGUACUCUUUGAUUGGUCUAUUAUUUAAAAGUAGUGGUUCACAUUUUACAGAAUGCAAAAAAUUUGUUGAGGAGCAAAUAUGCUAAAACUUGUACAUUAUGGGACUUAUACAAUUCCAGAUAUAAUUCACGUUCAGUCGUUAUCCAUAUUUUUUUUCGUAAUUUUAUUAAAAUUAAAAAGUGGUAAUUGUUAUGACCACAUGGGAAUUAGGUAUAUACAUAUGCCUUCACGUGAUCUUCAUAUGUAUGCCUUGUAGACCCUUGUAUUAAUACGUGUAUUAAUUUUAAUUAAUGACUAUCUAAAACAUAUGCUUCGUGUCAUAUAUGUAAUAGGUAAUCUCAUGUAUAAAUAGAUGUAAUCAGGUGAGAUGAAGAAUUACCUUUUAUUAUAAAACAUAAUUUCUAUACAGAAGCUUUGAGUGGCUAUAUUCCCUUGUUUUCUUGUAUUAAUUCUAGUAUAGUCUCUUUAUAUUAUAUUUUAUACUAUAUUCUACAACAGUAAUUCAAAUUUUAUAUAAACUGAAGGGUAGUUUGGGAAGUUUGGCCCUUUGAAAAUGAUAUUUACUACUCUAUAUGUUACUGCAAUAUCUGUCUCUUUUGAAAAUUUCUUUUGUUCCAUAUUACCCGUUUCCUUACAAUUUCAAUAUUGCAUUAGUUACAUAUUUUUCAGUUAUAUCAUUAUUAACUCUCAAAUAUUAUUUAUGCAUUAAUUAGUGAAUUAACAAGGGUAUUUUGGUCUAUCAAUAUAUAUUCUCCUAAAAUCAAGACUAUGGUUGGGACUGGGUUAGGUCGGUCGAUUACCAGCCUAAAAACCGACCCAUGCGUCAAACCAUUUUUGCUCAAAUUUGAAAACCGUCACUACAAAAAAAAACUUUUAAGUGACAACACCUAUUUUCCACAUAGUUAGGCAAAAAGUGUUGUCAAUGCUUGUUACUAACGGGGUGUAACUAAUGCUCUAUAGUGACAAUAAAUAAGGAUUAAGUGACAACAAAAAGAGUUAUUAGUGACAAUAAAAAAAAAUGUUGUCACUUAAUGUGUGCAUUAAGUGACAACUUUUGCGUUUGUUACAAUUGGGUGUCGCUAAUGCAACUUUUUCUUGUAGUGCGAUGCCGACCCAACCUUUUUGGGUCGGUGGAUGGUUGGUAACCGAAUAUUUGGUUCAUAUUUGGUUCGGUUGAUGGUUUAUACCCGUCACCUAGUUCACAUAAAAAAAAUUCAAUUUUUUUAGUAAAAAUAUCCACAUUUUGCAUAAUGCUACGGUUCGAUCAUCAUUUAUCAGUUCAAAAUAAUUAAUAAUAAUUUAACGAAAAAAUAUAACUCGGAAAUUCAAGAAAUUUCAAACAUACACAAGAGAUUUAGUGGAGUUAUGUAGGCUUUUUGGUUAAGUUUUGGCAUAAAGAAACUGGUGGAAGAUUUAUGUCAAACUUUUUUCCCUUGUUGAUUGUUUUUAAAAUUUAAAAUACUAAUUAUUUUGAUAAUUUCAAUAACCAAUUAAGAAAAUACGACCUUUAUUUUAUAUUUUUAAUAAAAGUUUAAUAGUAUAGAUGGAUGACCGAUAAUUAUCGGUCAACCAACUUUUAAUAAUAUUAAAAACCACCGACCGACCCAUUAUAGAUGGGUUGGUUGACAUUUUAGACCCGAUCCAAUGGAUCGGUUAAAAAUUGAUAAUCCACCUAAAAAUAUGAUCGGUAAUAGGUCGAUUGGUGGAUAAAAACCAACCCAACCCGAUUCUAAUCAAAACGUAUUUAUUGAGAUUCAGAUUCUUAAAACACGUGUUUCAUUCGUGUGGCUAAAAUUAUGGACACAAUAUCAUACAUAUUUGACAUGACUCGCUACUUCAACAAUGGCCAAUAAUACUCCCAUCUCUCUCUUAUAUGCUCAACCCCACAUCAUGUGCAAUAAAUUUGACUCGACAGGGGUUCUUUUCAAUUGAAACAAAAUUCAGGGCGAAAUGUCAUUAUUAUAAAUUUAUACUGCGUAAAAAGGAAAAAAUAAAAAAAUAAAAUUUUAUUAAUAUGGAAACCAAUUAAUUAUGUUUCUUCCUACAACACUCAAAAAAUUUGCUUUCUCAAAAAAAAAAAAAAAAUAGAAAAAAUAACACAAUAUUUAUUUUGAACUUUAAUUUCUAAUUCAGGCGAACGCCUCAGAGAAAAAAAAAUUAGGUUCACAAAACACUGCAAAAGAAGUUUAUAUAAUAUUUUUAAAUUUUAAUUCGAAUAGUACAUAUUAUAAUAUUCUCAUAUUUCAAGCAUAAAAAAAAACUAAUUAAUCCAAAUCAUUCUAAUAGUGUAUUACAUUUAAUUAUUAAUUAAGGGAUUCAAAACACCGUCCCAUUUUAUUGUUUAAAGGUAUUAAUAAAAGAAUAAAUAUAAAUACAUAUUUAUAAUUUUUUAUUAAAAAUAGUACUAGUUUUCACCAUUUUAUGUUAUAUUAUUAUAUUUAAUAUAUAUAUAUAUAUAUAUAUAUAUAUAUAUAUAUAUAUAUAUAUAUAUAUAUAUAUAUAUAUAUAUAUAUAUAUAUAUAUAUAUAUAUAUAUAUAUAUAUAUAUAUAUAUAUAUAUAUAUAUAUAUAUAUAUAUAUAUAUAUAUAUAUAUAUAUAUAUAUAUAUAUAUAUAUAUAUAUAUAUAUAUAGACAUAUAAAGACAUACACAUACAUAUAUAUAUAAAUAAAUAUAUAUAUGUAUAUAUGCACACACACAUAUAUAUACAUACACACACAUACACACACAUUAAAUUUCAUUAUAUAUAUGAAUAUUUAUAUUUCUCUAUAUAUAUAUAGAAACCCCUCUUUUCCCAAAAAAUGAAAAGAAAGAGACAGUGUAGAAGCGGACUUUUUUUUUAUAUUUUUUAUAACGUNNNNNNNNNNNNNNNNNNNNNNNNNNNNNNNNNNNNNNNNNNNNNNNNNNNNNNNNNNNNNNNNNNNNNNNNNNNNNNNNNNNNNNNNNNNNNNNNNNNNAUAUAUAUAUAUAUAUAUAUAUAUAUAUAUAUAUAUAUAUAUAUAUUCAUAUAGAGAUAUAUAUAUAUAUAUAUAUAUAUAUAUAUAUAUAUAUAUAUAUAUAUAUAUAUAUAUAUAUAUAUAUGCGUGUGUAUAAUUUAUAUAAGAUUAUGGUGACGAAACAAAAUAUUGAAAGGUUAAGAAAUAUACUAUUUACCAAAAAAUUGGAGGGGCAAGAAUAUUUCAAAAAUAAAUCAACUACGAAAUAGCUAAUUUUUUUUUUCUUGCCUUCAUAGGUCCGCCACUGUCAAAUAGACAGUACAUAAAUUAUUAUUGUGCGUAUGGGCAAGAAAUUAUUUAUGAAGACACAGACAUGCAAACAAAUUAAAUUAAAUUAAAUUUAUGAAUUUUCGAAAUUAUCUAUAAAUAAAUAGAAGUCCCUCUUUUCCCAACAAAUAAAAAAAAAAAAAAAGAAGAGAAGCAAAACAUUGAUUCAUAUUAUUUAUAAUGUCUACUACUCUUAUUAUCUGCACACCCAAAAUUCCUAAAUAUAAUCCAAUUAAAUCUCUUUCUUUUUUUAACAGCAAAAAAAAAUCAAAACUGUUCUUUGCAGCCUCUUCUAUUAAUCCAGCUGGUAAUGGCUUAAUUAUAAUUAGGCCUUGUUCAUUACAAUGCAAUGCUCAGGUUAAUAACUGUGAUCAAGCUCGAUUAGUUACUAUUGUUAAUCGACGGUCUGGAAACUACGAGCCUCCCGUUUGGAGUUUCGAUUUCGUUCAGUCGUUGAACACUAAAUACAAGGUAAUUGAACAUAUUUAAUUUAUAUCAAUGUUGAUAUUUAUUAAUUCAUUAGUAUUUUUAAUAUAUGCUUUUUUUGUGUGUGUAUAUAUGUAUAUAUAGGAAGAGAGAUAUUUGAAGAGGGGUAGUGAGUUGGUGGAGCAAGUGAAGAAGAUGUUAUUAGUGGAUGAACAAAUAUUAAUUCACAAAUUGGAGUUGAUUGAUAAUUUGUACAUGCUUGGUAUUUCUUAUCAUUUUGAGGAUGAAAUUAACCAAAUCUUGAAUUAUUUAUAUAAUCAACUCAUUAACGGCAAUAUUUUUAAUAAUAACAAAUAUUAUGAUGUAAGAGAUAAUUUGUACUCGGCGGCACUUGCAUUCCGACUCUUCAGACAACACGGUUUUCGCGUCUCCCAAGGUACGUUGUUUAUACAUACAUAUAUACAUAUAGACACGCCUCGGGCUGGGCUUGACCCAGACUCGGACCGGAGACUGCCCCGACUCGCUCCGUUGACCAUGAACCCGGACCCGGACUCAACCAAGUACGGAUCGGUUUCGGGUCCCGAUUAUUUGGACCCGGGACCCGACAGGUCUACUCGGCGGGGGAUCCGAGGACCCGUUGGGUCAACCCGUAUUUCCGGUUUUUUUGUCCAAAUAUUGUGCGGGGGAGAUUCAAACUCGGGAAAAUGGGCAGAAUUGGGCAACUCCAACCACUCGGGCAACCAACAUAUUUUUUUUUGUUUAAAUGUAGACAAUAAAUAUAUAUGAUAUAAAAUGCUAGUGUAAAUUAAAGUGAUAAAUAUGUUAAAUAAAUUAUUAAUUUUCAUAUUAAUUAUUAUUAAAUAAUUUUAAUUAAAUUAUUAACAAACGCAAUAUAAGAAACAUUUAAAUAAAUAUAUAGAAUCAGGGUUCAAUAUCUCAAAAUUACAUCUAUUAUUAAUUAUUAUAUCAAUAUAAUCUCCACUAUUGAAAAAUAUAAAGUAUUGAAUCAAUUCAAUAUACAAACAAACACGUUAACUUAAUACAAACUCACUUAUGUUAUUAAAAUCGACAGUGUGAAAAAUUCGAAUGAAAAAUAAAAUAAGAUAUUUAAAAAAAUAGAUUAUAACUCAUUUCAAUUAAUUUAAAUCGAUUAACCUCAAUUGUUGACAAGAACUUAUUAAAAUUAUUGAUUAUUUUAUCAUAAGAUAAUUAUUUAAAAAUAUAGAUGAUGUUUAUUUUAACAAAAAUAAAUUAUAUCUCAUUCUAAUUAAUUUCUUACUUUAAAAAUAAAACUAUAUAUUACGAGUAUAAUCAAAAUAUUAUGAUGUGAUUUCUCUUUUAAUAAUUGGUUUUAUUUGUAAAAAUCGUAAGAAUUAAAUCGUAGGUCAUAUGAUUUAAUCAAUUUUUUUUUACAUUUACAUUUUAUUCAAAUAUUAGAAUCGAAUCGUAAGAUUUAAAUGGAUCAAGCUCAAGUCCUUUCAAUUUUUUUUAUUAUAUAAUAUUUGUUAAUAAUUUAAUUAAAAUUAUUUAAUAAUGAAUAUGAUAAUUUAAUAAUCUUUUAACAUUAUUUAUUAUAAUCAUUUUAUGCCUUUUGUUUAUGUUAUAUAUAUUCCUUGUUAUAAAUUAUAAUAAUCCUAACUAUAAAUAUAUAAAUAUAAAUAACACUGUAAAUCAUUAUAAUAAUUGUAUAACUAAUGUUUUAUAAAUUAUUAAUUGUCAAGUUGACUAUUAUUAAUAUCAAAAAUCUCGACUAAUAACAAAUGCAUAUAUAUUUAAUUUUGAAAAAUAUAACAAAAAAAGAUUUAAUUUUGAUUUUUUUUGAAUUUUGAAAUUUUGAAAAAUUUCUCAAUUAUUAGUUUGAUCACUUAUAAAUACCCAUAAUUCAAUAUUCACAACUUUCAUUUUAUUUAGUUAUGUGUCAAGGUCUUAAUCGUUUCGUUUUUUUUUUUUAAAUUGUUUAGUGUUUAAAUUCAAUUAUUUUUUUAAUUUUGAAUUCAAUGUUAAUCUCAUGUUUUUUCAAGUUUCAAUGUAAGUUUUUUUUCUUUCUUGUAAAUAAAUAGAUAAAAGAAAUUAAAAACCCGGUUUGGACCGAGACCCGACCCGCCUCGUGGCCAUGUCUACAUGCAUGCAUACAUACAUACAUACAUACAUACAUACAUACAUACAUACAUCGUAUUAUGUAUUGAAUGACCACCUCAUCGAACGCCGAUUGCAUUUCGCAGAUGUGUUUGAUACUUUCAAGAACGAGACGGGUGAUUCUUUUAAGGCGAGUCUUGGAGACGAUAUUAAUAGUACUAAAGGACUGUUGCAACUUUAUGAAGCUUCUUUUUUUAUGACACGUGGCGAGAAAACAUUGGAGCUCGCAAGAGAAUUUUCUGCCAACUUACUGCGAAAAAAACUCGACGAUGAUCGAAUUGACGAUGACAAGGGCGAUACUUUAUUAUUAAUGGUUCGUCAUGCAUUGGAGCUCCCAAUUCAUUGGAGGGUUCAACGGCCAAAUGCAGGAUGGUUCAUCGAACAAGUCUACGAGAAAAGUCAACACAUGAACCCUAUUCUACUCGAGCUUGCCAAACUCGACUUUAACGUUGUUCAAUCGACACAUCAACAAGAACUCAAACAUCUCUCUAGGUACGUAAGUUAAUUAUUUCGAUCUGGAUCGACUAACUUGUUCGAAAAAUAGUAAUUACUUUGAAUUUUGAUUUGUAUAUAUUAUAGUUGGUGGGAGCAAAUAGGGCUAGCUAAGACAUUGCCAUUCGCGAGGGAUAGGUUGGUCGAGAAUUACCUAUGGACCAUCGGUGGGUUGUUUGAGCCUCGAUAUGGAUAUUCAAGAAUCAUGGCAACCAAGGUCAAUGUCUUUAUUACGAUAAUCGAUGAUAUAUUCGAUGUUUACGGUACUUUAGAAGAACUAGAGAUCUUCAAUGACGUCAUUCAAAGGUCCGAAUAAUUAAUUAAUUAAAUUUAUUUAAAACUUUCUAGAAUAAAAUAUAUAUAUAUAUAUAUAUAUAUAUAUAUAUAAAACUCAAAAUUCAAAUGUUUGUUUAUUAUCAUUUUUCAGAUGGGAUAUUGAAGGAAUGGACAAACUCCCACACUAUAUGCAGAUGUGUUUUCUAGCUCUCAACAACUUCGUCGACGAAUUGUCGUACCAUGUUCUCAAACAACAAGGAUUUCUCGUCGUCCCACAUUUAAGAAAAUCCGUAAUUAAUUAGACUUACAUUAAUUUUUAGUUAAAAUUAAAAUAUUUGAUUAUUGAUUUAUAUAUAAAUUUAAUUUUUGCAGUGGGCAGAUUUAUGCAUGGCUUAUAUGCAAGAGGCGAAGUGGUACUCGAAAGGGUACGCACCAACACUCGAAGAAUACAUAAACAAUGCAUGGAUUUCGAUAUCGGCUCCUGUAAUACUCUCUCAUGCAUUUUUUCUCGUGACGAAUCCAAUAAAAAAGGAAGCCGUUCGAAGCUUGUACGAAUACCACAACAUAGUUCGAUUAUCGGCAAUGAUUCUACGUCUUGCAAACGACCUUGGCACAUCACCGGUUCGUAAUAAUAUGAUACUAAUUAGUGUAUGCUGAUAAUUAAUAUUUUUUUAUUUUUAUGAAAAAAAUAAAAAUUCUUUGACUUAAUUAUUAUUAUUAGGAUGAGAUGAAACGAGGGGAUGUUCCGAAAUCGAUAGAGUGUUACAUGAAUGAAAGUGGAGCUGGUAGAGAAGAGGCGCAAGACUAUGUAAGGUGUUUGAUAAACGAGACAUGGAAAGAGAUGAACGAAGAAUUACGAGUUAUUACGGAAUCGCCAUUAUUCGAACGAGAUUUUGUGAGAAGUGCGGUUGACUUAGGGAGAAUGGCACAGUAUAUGUACCAAUAUGGAGAUGGGCAUGGAAUUCAAUUUCCUGAGAUGAAGGAUCGUAUUAUAAGUUUGUUGUUUGAGCCCUUUUGUGUGUAAACUUUAUUUAACUAGCUAGAGUAUAAAUAAUUCAAUAUAAUAAUGUACUUGUGAGUUUGGAAAUAAAAAAUUGUUAACAGAAAUAAUCAAACUUCAAUACAGAUGGGCAUUUGGUCUAGUGGUAUGAUUCUCGCUUUGGGUGCGAGAGGUCCCGAGUUCGAUUCUCGGAAUGCCCCUUUUAGAUUACCCAAAAGUUAUAACUAAAUAUAGUUGGAUAUUUACACUUUUUGUCCUAUACCUAAAUGCGAUUUUAGUCCUCAAACUUUUAAAUUCACGAAAUUAGUUCUCAAUCUUACCAUAUUUUGACAUUUUCGGUUGGCUGUAAAAUUUUCCAACUAACUCGGACGGAAGUGUCACCAUUUUUUUCGUCGCUAACUGAAAUUAGGCAUUAAAUAUUUGGGAGAGAGAAGAGAUAACGGUGAGGUAGAAGAAGUUUAGUUCCAGCUUAUUUGUAGGGGGCCAAGUCGACCUCACGUGAGGUGCACGUGACGAUUCAAUUCAAUUUAACAGAAAAAUUUGACACCCAAAUAAAACUAUCAAAAAGUGGCAAGUUUGAUGACUAAAUUCGUUGCGACAAUUGUUAUGAGGAUAAAAAUCCUAUUAAUAUAGGACUAAAUGCAUGUGAAAUACAAAAUGAGUGACAUAAUAAUAAAUUAAUAAUACGAAAAUAGCAAAUAUAUUAAAUAGUGUACACAAAAGGGUCAAACAGCAAAUUUGCAAUACGGUCCUUCAUCUCAGGAAUAUGCAUUCCAUACCCAUCUCCAUGCUGGUACAUAUACUGUGCCAUCCUCCCUAGUUCAACUGCACUCCUCACAAAAUUUUCCUGGAAUGGCGAAUCCGUAAUUACUCGCUCUUCAUUCAUUGUUUUCCACGUCUCGUAUAUAAUAGACCUUAUGUACUCUUGCGCCACUUCUCUAUCCGCCCCACUUUCGUUCAUGUAACACUCGACCGACUUAGGCACAUCCCCUCGUUUCAUUUCAUCCUAAUAAUUUGUAUACGUCGUUAAUUUCAAAAAAAAAUUAUUAUUAAAGUAUUGUACGAGAUUAAAUUAAUAAUAUGUACUAUAUAAUUACCGAUGAUGUAGCUAGGUCAUUCGAAAGACGUAGAAUCAUUGAUGGACAUUGAAUUAUCUUGUGGUAUUUGUGCUCGUACAAGCUUUUAACGGCUUCAUCGUGUAUCGGAUUCGUCACGACAAAAAACGCAUGAGAUAGUAUUACAGGAACGGACGACGAAAUCAAUCCAUUCUCGAUGUAUUCUUCGAGUGUUGGUGUAUAAUCUAUCGAGUACCACUUCGCCUCUUGUAAAAAUGUAUUGCAUAAAUCUGCCCACUGCAUGCAUGCAACACUUUAUGUGUGUGUGUGUGUGUGUAUGUUUAUAUAUAUAUAUAUAUAUAUAUAUAUAUAUAUAUAUAUAUAUAUAUAUAUAUAUAUAUAUAUAUAUAUAUAUAGAUAUAUAUAUAUAUAUAUAUAUAUAUAUACACAUACAUAUAUAUAUAUAUGUAUAUACACAUAUAUAUAGAUGUACAUAGAGAACAAGAUACACCUUUUCAUAUACAAAGUUGUAGAGAGCUAGAAAGCAUAUCUGCAUGUAGUGUGAGAGUUUGUACAUUGUUUCAAUAUCCCAUCUACAAAAGGAAAACAAAUCUAUGUGUUUUUUUGGUUUGAAUAUCCAGUACUAUAUAAUUAUUAUAUANNNNNNNNNNNNNNNNNNNNNNNNNNNNNNNNNNNNNNNNNNNNNNNNNNNNNNNNNNNNNNNNNNNNNNNNNNNNNNNNNNNNNNNNNNNNNNNNNNNNCAUUCUUGAUAUCCAUAUUGAGGCUCGAUCGGCCCACCAAUGGUCCAUAGGUAAUUCUCGACAAGCCUAUCCCUCGCAAACGGCAAUGUUUUUGCAAGCUCCGUUUGCUCCCACCAACUAUAUAUAUAUAUAUAUAUAUAUAUAUAUAUAUAUAUAUAUAUAUAUAUAUAUAUUGCAUAAUAAAUACAAAUUAAAAUUAAAAUUAAUAACUAUAUAGUUUCGGACGAGUUAGUUAGUCAAGAUCUAAAUAAUUAACCUACCUAGAGAGAUGUUUGAGUUCUUGUUGAUGAGUCGAUUGAACGAUGUUAAAGUCGAGUUUGGCAAGCUCGAGUAGAAUAGGGUUCACGUGUUGACUUUUCUCGUAGACUUGUUCGAUGAACCAUCUUGCAUUUGGCCUUUGAACCCUCCAAUGAAUCGGGAGCUCCAAUGCAUGCCGGACCAUUAACAAUAAAAUACCGCCCUCGUCGUCGUGAAUUCGAUCAUCGUUGAGUUUUUUGCGCAGUAAAUUAGCGGAAAAUUCUCUUGCGAGCUCCAAUGUUGUUUCGCCUUUUGUCAGAAGAAAAGAAGCUUCGUACAGUUGUAGCAAUCCUUUAGUAUCAUCGUUGAGACUCGCUUUAAAGUCGCCCGUCUUGUUCUUGAAACUGUCAAACACAUCUGCCACGCAUGCAAAUCGAUUUUAGAUGAAGUAAUUUUGAGGCCUAAAGUGAAUAAUAAAAUGGGAAUUUUGGGAAAGAUGCAUGUGUGUUAAUUAAAUCAUGGUAUUCAAGUUGCACAAGCCUGAAUAUAUAUAUAUAUAUAUAUAUAUAUAUAUAAAAUUCUAUUAAUUUAGCGAAAUAUUAAAUUAUCGAACUAAUAAUUUAGUAGGGUUUUACCGAUUUGGGACCGGAAAAACUAUUAUUUAAUUGAGGUUCUACUGUAUAGGGUAAUUUGCAUCCAUCUCUCCUAAAUUUUGAUCUUUUAACAAAUACACCCCAAACAUUUAACUUUUUGUCAUAUACACCCCCUUCAUCCACUAAUUUUGAACAUAAUAUAGUAAUUUGCAUCUACCUCCUCUAACUUUGGUAUUUUAACAACCACAUCUUACAUAAAUAAAUUAUUUAUUUAUUUAUUUAUUAUUAUUAUUAUUAUUUUUUUUUUUUUUUAUUAUUAUUAUUAUUAUUAUUAUUAUUAUUAUUAUUAUUAUUAUUAUUAUUAUUAUUAUUAUUAUUAUUAUUAUUAUUAUUAUUAUUAUUAUUAUUAUUAUUAUUCAUUUUUUGUGGAUUAUGCAGUCCUUUUUCACCCGGUUUAACUGUCGGUAAUUAUUUCUAUUUUUUUUUACGUUCACAAUUCAAAUGUUAUAUUUCAAUUAAUCAGUAUUACUUUUUUUUCAACCGGGCCAUAUUACAUUUACAUAUAUAUGGCAUGACGAGNNNNNNNNNNNNNNNNNNNNNNNNNNNNNNNNNNNNNNNNNNNNNNNNNNNNNNNNNNNNNNNNNNNNNNNNNNNNNNNNNNNNNNNNNNNNNNNNNNNNAGGUCCGCGCGGAACUCUCCCGCGUUCUAAAAGGUAAUGUUGUUGAUACAAACAAGUCAAGAUUUGGUCAAUUUCAUCCUCAAAGUGAUAAGAAAUACCAAGCCUAUACAAAUUAUCAAUCAACUCCAAUUGUUGAAUAGGCUCCAUUGACAUAACUUGUUCCUCCACCACCAUCAACUUCACUUUCUCCUUCAACUCACAACCCCUUUUCAUGUAUCUCUCUUCCUAUAUAUAUAUAUAUAUAUAUAUAUAUAUAUAUAUAUAUAUAUAUAUAUAUAAAGACAUUAAAUUAUUAAAAAAAAAAAAAAAAAAAAAAGAAAGAAAGAAAAGAAACCCUAAUGAUCGAGUACUAGUUAAUAUUGAUCAAGUGCAUUUGUCGAAUACGAUAUACCUUGUACUCGCUGCUCAGUGAUUGAAGAAAAUCGAAACCCCAAAGGGGAGGCUUGUAGUUUCCGGUUCGACGAACAAUAGUUGGACUCUGAUCACCACAAACGGCGGCGGCGCCGCCAUUGGUAUUAUUAAUGCAUUUUAUUGACGAACAUGAAUUUGGCCUUACUGAUCUUGUUGCAGUACGAGAAUAUACGAAGCACGCUUUCGAAUCUUUCCUCUUGUUCAAAGAAGAAGAAAGAUAAUUCAUUGGCUUGUUGGAAAUCGCCAAACAUGGCAUUGUAAUGCUACUACACAUUUUUUUAUGAGAAAGAAAGAAAAAAAGAUUGUAUGUAAAUUUGGUUUUUCUUUUGCUUGAUUUUCUUGGGGAGGUUGGAUCAUUUAUGAAUGCAAUAGUUGGCUUUUUUUAUUGAUAGAUGCGAUCGUUCUCGUAUUUCGACUGCAUCGAUGUACUACCACCAGUGCCGCAUACAUCCCAAUGUACUACAAAAUGCUACAAACUGAAUCCCGCCGUUGAGUUAUGUCAAUGAAUCAGUCCAUUUUCAAAGUUGACCGAUAUCGUUACACGAGAUAAUAUAAUGUUAAAAUUUAUUUGCGAAUUUUAAUCUAUUAUUUGCAAUAUGGAAUCUUGACCCACUAGAUAUAAAGAAAAUAUUAAAUAUGAUCAAAAGCGACCCUUGAUCUUAGGUUAGGGUAGUCAGCCAAUUAUAUAUUUGUAGCAGGGCCGGCAUUAAUAAAAUAAUAUAGAUACAUACCUGGACACGUUAAAACAUGUCAUAAUAAAUAAACUCAAAUAUGUGAACAGGGUCAUGUGAUUUAUUUAUUAUUUUCCUACAUGUAAUUUAUUUAUAAAUUUCCUACGUUUUGCAUGUUGGAUUCCUUAUUUUUUUUCUUUGUUUUUAUAAUUUAUGAAAUCAUUUGUAGCUAUUAUUUUGUAAAUAAAAAAUAUGUAUUUCAUCCAUAAAUUUCUUUUUUAUUUUACUUUACUAUAAAAUAAUUUUAUGUUAUUUGUAUAAUAUUUAUUUUAUUAAUUUAUAAUGCUUAUAUUUAAGAAAGUAUUAAAAGAAAUAAAGAAUAAAAAUAAAGCAAAACUAAAUUAAAAUCAAACAUUAAUAAAUAAAUAUGAUAUCAAAAAAUAAAGCAAAUACAACACACGUAGAAUAUAAGACAAUUCAUUAAAAAAAAAUUAAACAUCUUCGUCUCCAAAGAUAAUAUUCCAUAAAUGGUUCAUAAGAUCGGAUCUCAAGACUUCAUUAGUUCCUCGAUUGCGAAUUCGGUCAAGGCGUGCUGAUAUGUAAUACACUAAAAUUGAUGGAUCUCGACCAUAUUCAGGAGGGGAAAUAUUUUCUUCUGGUAAAGGAGUGCUGAUAUGUAAUAUUUUACGUUAUUAAUAUUUAUGUUAAUUUAUGUUAUUUGUAAAUAUUUUAAAUUUGUAAAUACAAUUUAUAUAAUUAUAAAAAUAGACAAAAAUAAAUAACUCACAACUUAAUAAAACAUUAUAUAUAAUAAAUUAAAAUAAUUUCAUUUAAAAAUUAAUAUAAAUUGAUGAUAGUUAUAUAUUUUACUAAAUAAAUAUAAAAAAAAUAAAAAUAUAAUUUCAUAAUUAUUAUAUUUAUAAUGAAUAUUUUAUUAGAAUUUAAUAUUUGAGGACAUUUUAGGGAGGACCGAAAACCAACCCAUUGGAGUAGAUUGUAAUUUGGGGAGUGUUUAAGUAGGACCCGUUGUAUAAAGAGGUAUUUAAAUGUGUAUGUGGGGGAAUACGAUGCUACACCCGGUGAUUUUCACCGGGUGGCUCUUUUCUUGACAUGUGUCCUUUUUUAUUUAUUUUAUAAUUAUAUUUUUAAAACCUAUUGGGCCAUAACUGAACCCGUAGUGGGAAUCUUAUUAAUUAGGGUGCAUGGUUAUAUUCACCGGUUGUAGCAUAGAAAUUCCCGUGUAUGUGGCAUGUGGGAUCCACAUUUUGGGGAGGGGUUUCAGGGAUGAGCAUUGUGGAUGCUCUAAUCUGUUAAAAAAUGCAACUUGUUAUAUAUAAUAAUAAUAAAAUGUUAUUUGCGGUCACAAAUUGCUAUUCGCGGUUUAUAACAAAACCCCCCAAAACUUUUAAAAAUAUCCAAAAACCUCCCAAAACUGCAAAUAGCAAAAAAAAGAAAAAAAAAUUGAAAUUUCGAAAUCAAGCUUGAAGAAGGGUUGGGCUUCGUUUUGAUGUAAUUUCGACUCUUUUACGUGUAAUAUGCAUUGGGUAGGUCGAUUACGGAACCAAUUUCAUGUUAAAAAGCCCUACAAAUCGAUUUGUAGGGCUUUUGUUUUUCGCAAAAAAAUGUUCGAACGCCCAAGAUGGGCGCCCAAGGCGUGUACGAACCUUGGGCGCCCAUUUUGGGCGUUCGAACAUUUAAAAAAAAAAAAAAAAAAAUUGCACUGGGCGCCCAAAUGCAGCUUGCACGCCCAACUUGGGCGUGCAUGAAUGGGCGCUCAAGUUGGGCUUUCACGCGUUUUGGGAGGGUUUUUGAAUUUUUUUGGGAAGUUUUGGGGUUUUAGUAAAAUAAAAUAUUUUUUUGGGGGAUUUUAUUAUAAAUCGCAAAUAGCAAUUUUCAAACCGCAAAAAGCAAUUCCCGUAAUAAUAUCAAGAUUAGUUCAUGUUAAUCUAGUUGGUUGGUACAAGGUUUUUUUUUUUUUUAAUUGACAAGCAGAUGAAUGUUGCAAAGAGGUUAUCAAUUUUGAUAUUGAACUCCUAGAUUUUGGAUGUCACCAAAUUCAUUACUAGAACAAAGAUCCACAUCAAAAUGCCAGAUAGGCGGUUGCUAAAGCUAUAUAUUACACCACGCCAAAAUGACAGCUAUACACAAAAUAUAUUACAUAUACAUAUAUAUAUAUAUAUAUAUAUAUAUAUAUAUAUAUAUAUAUAUAUAUAUAUAUAUAUAUAAGAACGGAUGAUUUUUUAUAUAUAGUGACUAAACCCCUCUCAAAAUAUGGUCCUGCACAUAUCAUGACUACUAUACCCUCCCAAGAUUUGCAUAAUUUCCUCCUUACACAAUGAGACGAACUGGUCAUCGAAUCGAUCUCCUCCUCCUACUAGUCUUUCUGAUGGUGGCUAUUUCCAUCUCACUUUCUUCUUCGGAAUCCUCAACAACACAUGCCGAAAGAUCCUCACUCGACAUUGAAGAAUUCUCGUACUUUACUUGAGUAUCACAAACACGAUUCUCCUCAUUCUGCACAUCAAUUACAACACUCGACUCGCCAGAACAAGUUCUAGAAGCUUCCUCCGAAACAACCUUCUUUAUUUCUUCUCUCCUUGAACUACGAAGGCUAUAAUACCGUGAAGGCCUUAGUUUCUCAGUUUCGUGUUUGCUUGAUGUGUCGAGUAUCUCCUGUUCGAGAUAUAACAAUCAAGAAAUGAAAUGGUUUGAAAAUUAUGUAUAGUCAAACUUUGAGCAUAUUUUGCUCUAUCCGAGUUUUCUAUGCAUGGAAAAUAGAAAUAUAAAUGCUUGUUUGUGAGGGUUUACCUUGAUCGGCAAACUCAUGGUGUUGAACUGAUUAUCUGGCAUCAACGGCUGAACAUUUUCGAUAAUGACUGACUCGUCAAUAUUUCUCUUCUCAAUUAAAUUUUCGAGGUCAUCACACGAGUUUAAAUUGAUACCAAGACAUAAUUGAUCUUUUGCAACAGUUUGAUGAACAAACUUUACACCACUGUCGUCCUCGUCUGUACCACUUUGAUAACAUUUGUCACGAGUGGUCGGAGGAUCGUUCAGAGCAUUGUCUUCGACUAUUCUAUGAAUCAGUUUUCUGAUAUGGUCGCGUUUUUUGAGAGAAACCUCGGCAGGAAAGAACCAAUCCUCAUUAAGCUGCAGAGAGAGAGAACUUUUGGUAAUAAAUAUACUUAAAACAUAUUGUUGAACAUACAGUGGUAAUACCAUAAAUAUGGAAAAUGUACAUGAAUGUUCGAUGCUAUAACAAUAUAAAGGUCUAAUGUAAACAGAGGUCGUAUUUUAGUCAAAAUAAUGCAGGUAUUGCUUUAAAUCGUUAUUGACUCAUUGACCAGGAGAACUAUAAAAUGAACGAACAGUGACCACACUAAUCCCAAUAAAGCUACUCCGAAAAUAGAAUCAACUGGUCGGAGAUCACUUAAUGCAGGAAUCAUUUUACAAAUUCAAUUUUCCCCUGAUCUAUGUCCAAAGUACCAGAAGAGAUGAACAACUUACAAAGUCAAGAUAUUUAGUUGCACUGAGGUUUGACGCCUGCUCCAGAAAAAGUUCAGCAUAAUGAAGCAAAAAAAGGCCACAGUCGAACCAGUUUUCUUGUUGUGGCAACUGAAACAAAACAACCAGAAAGGAAGGAAAAAAAAUUACAACCAACAAAAUUGCCUUGUGUAAUGAGAGGGGAUGGGUAACGGUAAUCUGCAAUUAAAUAAUGAUGACCGGCACAACUAGGAUGCAUCACAGUAUCUGGUUGCUUUUUAGCAAGUUUCACAUGCACAUUUACAUUAAAAUCUUUCCAGUCUGUAUUCUUCACAAUUUAACUCAAUUCCCGCUUUUUGACCUCAAAAUUAAACUUCGUUUCACAUGACUUAGCCUCCCAACCACCCCUCAAAUCUAUUUCAAGUAAACUAUAUUGACAUCCGACGGAAGAUAAAUUGAUGUUACAUUAUCCGUUCGACAAAAAACAAAAUUGGUUAAUUUUCCAAACUGUAACAUUUAGACCUCAUUUGCCUCUGUGUCAAGGCAUAUUGAAAAUGUCUCCAUGCCGUCAAUUACUGCUCAAUAUCGGAAACAUCAUCCAGUGUUUAUUCAAUUUAAUGCAAGACAAGUUAUCUGGAAAAAAGUAAUAAAGAUGGAGUUAGGCUGAGUAAUAGAACCUGAAGCAUGAUAAAAUCCAAAUUCAAGAACUUUGUGGCAAUAUCUUCUUCAUGCCUAUUCCCCCGCUCUUUCCAUUCUUCUGAUAAAUAACUAUAUUUUAACAUAAGAAAAGAAGUUGAGAGUGGGGUUGUUGUUUAAUGUGUCAAUCUCUUUUGCUGAUGCUAGAUAAACCUAACCAAGAAUCCACAAGCAAAAAAGGGUGAAAGUUUAUAGAAAGUGGUACUUGGAGAAAAAUAAUCAUAUAAGAGCGAAUUUUGGGUAAACCGAUAAUUCAAGAUUAACUUGAAGAAAAUCAUUACAUUAACCACAGGAGAGAAAACGUGAUGAAUUUAUUUCCAUCGAUGCUCUCCUUUACUGAAACAACAGAUUUUAGUAAUAGCACUCACUACACGUUCCAGUUAACUAAUAAUUGAAAACAUGCACAUUGUGAAUGUAUUCAAUGAUUACAGAUAUUUGAUAGUAUCUAAAAGUCCAACUAUUUCUAUAUAUGGGUUCUGGAAAUUACACUUCAUACCCUUGCUAAUUAACCAUGACCACCAAAAAUUUCCAAGUCAAGGUUCCUGGAUUAAAUUAAGGGGAAAUUCUAUAUUGGGCUGAAUCUAGCCAAACCCCAACUAAUCACACGGCAAUUGUGAAAAUAAAUUAUCCUCACAAUUACUACCUUUGGAGUGUAAAGAAGUCUAGUAGCAAACAUAGACCACUUGUGCUACAAAUAACUACGAUUUGGCCAGACAAGAUGAAGAGAAAUUUUUCCGUUAACGUGAAAUAAACAAUAGUAGGACUGUGGGUGGUUUCCAUUUUCUUGGAAAUGACACGGGCUUGUCUAGAGCAUCAAACCAACAGCUUACCUUCUAAUAAGAUCCUCAAACCCUUUAUGGCUUCCUCUGAUAGAAUCCAUGUGUAAAAUACACGGCCCCUUAGAUGAGGCAUCCACGCUUUUGUCUGUACAAUGAUAUCCAAAUGUCAAGCAGAGAAAGUAGCAACCACUAACUAAAGAAAAUGAAAAGGAUUACGUGAAGAGAUAUGCCUCGUAAAUUAGCAACUUCCCCAGGAUGGCAUAUAACAAUCAAACUCCAAUGCAGGCUACAAAAAGAGGGAAACAACAACCUUAGAAAACCAACAUAGAUAUAUAUACAUCUUGGAAGGUCCAUAACAGUAUUUCUUACCUGAAAUUUACAGGUAUAAAUAUGUAAUCCUUUUCAAAAAUGUUGACAUUCCUUGUCCAUUUACGAACACAUCCAAAAACAUCUCUUCCUUCGCAAUCUCUAUAUAAAUCUCGAUUCACAUUCACAAGCUUCUGGAAGAAAAAUGUGUUGAAAAAAUGGAACCUGUGCUGCUCCCCUGGUUUGAUUUUGGUUACAAGGUAUCUGCCAUUCGACUACAUAUUUCAGUUAUGCUACGUUUGAUUUAAUAAACUCAGAAGUUAUGCUACGUUUGAAAUCUGCAACUAUGCUGCAAAACAAUAGGAGAGACAUAAUAAUCAUGGACAAUUGGUUCACACUUGAAACUAGUUACUAUCCACAUCCCAAGAUGAGUAUCGAAGAAUUAGGAAAAUGAGGAUUAUCAACCAAUACUAAUAAAGUAUGGAAAGGAGGAUUUUUGUUAAGCAGACUGUAAACUUACUUGAUAUAGAAGUCAAUUAUAGUAUCGUUUAUGAAAGUCCUUGGCUGCAAUAGCUCAAUAUCUCUUUUACUUAAGAAGACAGCAUCAGGAUCGCCAUCUGGAUAUAUUAUGUCUUCAAAGGAAUCUUUAAAAGAACACUCACUGAAAUUUGAAUGACAAAUAUUUAAAAAUUAAAAUUGAUUUAUAUCAAGAGAAAAACCUGAAGACAAAGAUAUGACAUAGUCAGUUAUAAUUUCUCUUUCAUCUAAAUCUAACCGUCUUUUCCAUUUCUCCCAGAAUCUAAACCUAAUUGUUGAUUCAUUGAUACACAGCUUCUAUUUUAUCUCCCUCCCUUUUAACCCUGAUCCAACACAGUGACUUCUCAUUUUUUUUGAAAGAUAACAUGAAAUUUGUAUUUAUCUUCGAUAGUGAUCUUAGGGAGCAGCGUUUUUUUAAGACAAACUAAUCUGAUUCCCCAAUAUUGACAGUAUAACCAAAUAAGGAUAGUGCUUCCAGAGAAAGAAAUAUGUAUUCUACCAACAAGCAAUUUACCUUAUAAUGGUCUUCCAAGCAGCGUUGUAUUUUAGAUCCAAUGAUUUAAUGUUUUCUUGUUUCUCGGACCAAUGUAGAUCAUCAAGAACAACAAACUCCAGUUCCACACUACCUGCACCCAGUAGGGAAAAAACUUAACCCUAAGUUGAAAACCAACUCAUUCCAUGUACUGAUAGACAAAAGGUGGAGAAGUGAAUCCACUGAAAAAAUCAAUGACAAAUUUACAGUGCAAAACCUGAAUCCGCAUUCCCUGUUUCAUCAACAUUUAUGACCUUCGAUUGAAAUUGUAGAUUCACAAUAUUGGCUUUAACCUAAGUUCAGAAGUUCAGGAAUAAUAUUGUUAAAUCUAUAUUUCUCAUCAACAUGGGUAUCAGGUAAAAGUGCAUGUGGGAGAUCAACUGCACUCACACUUUCACAUUGUUGAUGCUCAAUUUUCAAAAUAUCAAAGGUCGGCCAUUCAAGACAAUAAGGCCUCUUUUUCUUAUGAAGGGGUGACCCCUCCAGUCUGAUGCACCUCUGAGAAAAAGUCAGGAUACAACUUUUAUAAUGCAUGUUCCCGUAUUUAACAUAAUAGGGAGCAAGAACCACCACUUUUUCCUGCAAAACAAAACGUUAAAGAUACAUAAAUUAAGAACAAAUGUAUCCCUUGUGUGUGUCUAGAGAGAGAGAUCAUACAUAACGAAGAACAGAUUCACAUACAUACUUGUAAUACUAUAUCAAUUAAGUGAUAUUUCUAUUGUAGAUAACGUAAGGAAAAUAAAAGGAAGACUUGUGGUUUCAAAAUUUCAGUUGUGUAUAUACUCCACAUCCUUUAACUAACAUAAGUUACUUUGCAGCCAUACACUAACACAGUCAUUAUCAUUGGCAUCAUGCUCUGAUGAUUGUUCCUCCAAUGGACCUGAAAAGGAGCCAAGAAACGCAUAAAUUGACAAAAUGGAAACGAGAUCUAAAUAUAUCACCAUAACAACUAUGAAAUUUGUUUCUUAUAUGAUAAGGAAAUAACCAUCAUUAUCUGCUAGAUCGAAAGAAGAACUUAAUCUCAACUCUGUUAUUCUAUCUUCAUCGGAAUCUACAUACAAUGCCUUGUUCUGCAUACAAAAAAAGUAAAAAUGAAUCGCAGUGGGAUAUAUAAAGUCAAUGGAUCGAUCUGUAACGCAAAAAAGAUCUCAGAAGUCAAAUACAUGAAGAGACAAAGUGAGAAUGCUAUUUGAACUGUAUUACAUGCUUCUUGCCAGCUGCGUAGCCUCCUGGUUUUCUUCUUCCUGCUGCGCAGGUUUUUGCUCCAGAUGGCUGACGUUUUGAGAAGGAAAAGGGACGUGAUUCACAGUUCAAAGAACCAGAUGAAAUGCUGAUAUCGGUCCCAGAUAUUCUAUCUUGCAAGUCACAAUCAGUAACAUGAACAUCUGAUUUGCCUUUCCCAGAAUCCUUUUGUUGAGUGGGUCCUUGCGCAACUGUAAAAUUGUUCAUGAAGUAUUCAUCAGAUGGACUAAGCACUACUUUGAACUCGACAGGUGACUAGAAUUCGAGACGAAGUUAACAACCCUCAUUAACAGAGUUGGUAUCUGCCCUUGAUUGUUAGAGUCAAGGUCAGAGGGCCAAAUCUUACCUCUCCCCUACUUUCCCGUUUGUACUAGGAUUUGAAUAUAAAAAAAAUAUUGAUAACAAGUUAUUUGCAAAUAAUCUUAAUAAAUACCCUAUCCCUUCUAGACUUCAUCAUACCAUUUGGCAUCAAGAACUCUCAAUCAUCCAACCUAAACCAUAUAAAUUUCUACAUUGUUUUCGAUUAAGCAAUAUGUAGAGAAAAUAGGGCUUAACUUCUGUCCAGGAGAUAGGAUACAUUCAACUAUCCCCGAAUCUUUUUCACAGUCUUGGUAAGUCUUAUUUAACAAUUUAAAUCAAUAAAACUACAUAGAAUAGCAUAAUCACGUAUCGGUGUCCAACAACCGAAACAAAUUACCAUUCACAGAUUCCACAUAUAGAAGAAACCUUAAUUCGAAUCACCCCUCUAUCAGAAAGUUAAACCAAUUUCGCUCCGAGAGAAACGCACAUCGAGUUUCGAUAAAUAUAAAACCCAAACAUUUUCAAAAACACAAACACCAAAUUCAAAUUCCAACCCAAUUUUUUCGAGUCUCCGGUAAAACAGCAACGAUUUUUUUCACGACGUAACAGUAAGCAAAUCCCCAUCACUAUAACAACAUUAUUGCAAGCAUACAAUUACAAGCAGUGUUCCCAAAGGAUAACAGAAUCACAGAACAAGCAGUAUUCCAUUGUUUAACGUCAAAUAAAACACAAUACUACAACUGAUCAGGGGAUUAUGGACUUACAAAACUCGAGAAAAACGUAUUUAUCAACGGGUUCACGAUUCUGCGCGAGUUUCUUGCCGGGGCUUUUAAUACCGUAUUUGACGAGGGUUUUGCUGGCUUCCUGCUCGACGCGCAAAUCCUCGUCGUUGAAAUCGAACGCCGAGAGUUUAUCGUUGUUGCUACUGCUUCCGCCAUAGCUAUUGCUGCUUGUGGUAUUACCAUCACCGCCGCUGUAAUUUUUGCCCCUGGCGUUUCUUCUCUUCCCCAUUGCGAUCAGUGAAAUUUGAUAAUGGGAAACUUUAAAUUGCUUAUCAGCUUGUAGUGGGAAACUUAUUUGGGGUUUAUUACAUUUGACACCCCCUAAUAUAGUUAUUUACAUUAAUUGACAAAAACAAAUGAGUUAUUUUUAUUACACCUCCGUUUCACACUAACUGUCAAAAAAAAUAUUAUAAAUAAUUGUCACUUUUCACUUUUCACAAAGAUUAAGAAACUCAAUAAAUAUAUAUUGAUUUUAGAAAAAUCAUAUAAAAAUGACUAAAAUAACCUUUAAUAUUUAAUAAUUUAUAUGAGAAAAUUAAUGAAUAGAAUUUCAUUAAUAAGGUUAAAACAGGAAAAAUGUAUUUAAUCCAGUAUUGGAAAUAUAAAGUGACAGAUAAUAUGGAAUAAAAAUAUUUUAAAAAAGAGACAGUUAUUGUGGAACAGAGAGAGUAUUUUAGAAUUUCAAAACCAUAUUAAUUAUACAAUUUUCAAUACCAUAUUAUGACCAUUAGUAGGGCUACCGUAGUUUUAUGACUAUUACUGUGUACUAAGCGUAACUUAAGCUUAUGGUAAUGAAAAAAAUUCAUAUCAUUAAUUAUCAUUAAUUGUUAUUCUUUAUAUGAUACUGGGGUACAUGGUACUCUACCACUUAUAUCAACCAAAGUUGUAAAAUUUUCUUGUCAUAUUAUAUACCAAGGCCUCGUUUGAUUGGGGAGAUUAAACCUGAUUAACUAAAUAAUUAUAUUUUAUUUAUGUUUCGCUUUGGUAGCGUUUUUUCAUAUUAUAUACCAAGGCCUCGUUCUCUAUUUCUCUCUCCUCUCUCUUACGCAUUUUUUUAUAUUAAUUAUCAUAAGAAUGAAGCAAAAAAUCUUUUUAAUUAUCUUAAGAAUGAAAAAAAUUAUUUUAAUUAUUUUUCUCUCGCUAAUUUAUUUUCUUCUUGUCUGGUUCACAACUAAUUAUUUUAAUAUGAUGUAAUUUACUUUUUAAUACAAUUAAAUAAUCAUAUUUAAAAAAAUAAAAAAAAAAAUCUUCCAUUUUGCAAUGUUAUCCUCGUGCAUCACACGGGAAGAAUUGCUCGUUGCGUAUAAAUCAAAUGUUAAAAACCCCCCUAUGCAUCUCACCGAUUGUGCAUCUAAGAGACGCUUGAAUUCCAAAUCUCACAAAAAUCGAUGAUAAUAACAUACACAAACGACGUAAAUUUAGUACAAUUACAAGUUAUAAGGUCACAUUAUAAGGCACAUUUUUAUUUUCAUUUUGAGAGAGAAAAAAAAACUAUGAAUUAACUUAUAUAUAUAUAUAUAGUAAAUUAAAUAAAGGGGGGAUGAAAACCCAUUUCUUCUCAUGAACUGCCUUUCUCCUCUCUUCAGUGACCGUUGGAUGAAGGUAAGCUGCAAGAUCAUACACACUAUCAGAUUGAGGACUCAACAAUAAAUACACCAAAUUAUUAUGAGAGGUUUAGAAUUGAGUUUUACGCCUAUGAAUUUCGAUCGAAAAACAAAGCAAAAGGGGAAAAAAUCGAAAACAAAAAAUUAAAAAAUGAAUAUAUAACACCCAGUUUCACACAUAAGAAUAUUACAAAUACUACUUAAAUACAAAAAUUACAUCAUCCCAAAUUCUAAAUACGAAAGAAUCUCAUAUGAUCUUGGGUUCGGUUGUAGGCCAAUCUCGUAUAAAAAAAUCGAUGUCCAAGUUAGUUUAAUCUCAAAAUGCAAAGUUAGCAAUGGUAACCUAGCCAAGAUAUCAUCGUAUAUCAACUGGAUCAAGGGAUCAUUUGGCUAAACUUAUUCUAACAGCUGAUAAGCUCUUACAUCUGAUAAGUUAUUUUUAUUGAUAAGUUGUUACGUCUUAUUUUUAAAAUUAAUUUUUAAAGUGUUUGGAUAAUGAUGUUAUAAAGUGUUUGGGUAGAGGUAUUUUGUAUAAAAUAUAUAUCUUAUUUACUCUCAAGCAACCUAUUUUUUAUUUAUAAGAUUUUUUUCAGAAAAAACUACCAAACAUUUUGGAAGAGCUUAUAAGCUUUUAAACAACUUAUAAACUCUUUAUAACAGCUUAUAAGCUUAGCCAAACGCCCUCUUAAUUUACGAAUAAUCAUCAGAUUCGAUAUAUGCAUAAAUCAUAUAAUAUAAGCCCUCAAUAUCAGUAGUAAUGUACUCCAUCUGCAAUUCAAGACUAGGUUUAAGUAAUGUUCUUUAGACAUGCAUGCCUGUCGUAAUUAAUAUUAAAAUAAAUUAAUUUAAAGAACGCACACACACAUACAUACAUACAUACAUACAUACAUACAUACAUACAUACAUACGUACAUACAUACAUACAUACCCGAGCCUGAGAGAAGUAUCCGAAAAGCUUUUGUCCGCCUCAAGACAAGGGACUAAGCUUUGACAAAUAGUGAUAGACUCCGCCGAAUUUCCUUGUUCCGUUGUAUUUCUCGUACAUCCAGGUUUCUGCAUCUACAAUUCAUUCACUUAUAUCUAAAUACGUACUAUAUAUAAAAAUCGAGAUUGAUGAAUGCCGAUACAAAAAAAAAAAAAAAAGAAAAAAAAAAAAGGAAACCCUACCUCAACUUGUUGUUUCAACCAUUCAUUUUCUUCCAUUAGUUCUAAUUCCUGCAUUUUUAUUUUUAUUUUGUCAACUUAAUUAAUUAUUUCAAGAAUCGGACAAUUAGUAGAAAUGCGUGAUGAUUUUUUUCAAGAUUUCGAAACUUGCCCUUGUCUUCAUCUUGCUGAUGUCAUUCAAAAGCUUGUCGUUCUAUAUAAGAAGGGAAAGAUUUAAUUAGAAUUUUUGCUAUCGAAUAUUCAGCAGAAUUAAUAAAUAACCGAAAAUUAAAAAAAAAAAUCAGCAAAAAUUAAUAAACCUUAAUUUUCCCGACACGGCUUAAUCCCGCCUCCACUAAUUUCUCUACCUUCAUCAAUUCAUUCAGGCCAAGUUCUUGAAGCUCUUCUCCCAUAAGUUGCCUAAAAAGAAUUUAAAAUUGUUUCGUUUAAUUUGCGAUUUUCUAGUAACUAUUAAAACACGGAAUAAUCCACAUUUUGAUGAAUGUUUAUACGGUGAUCUAUAUAUAUAAUUAUACGUACUUUAGCUCGGUAGUUCGGUCCGCAAGUUCCUUGCUGAGCACUGCAUGGUUGCUACUAGCAGUCUAAAAAAUUAAAUUAAAUUAAAUAAAAUUUAAAUUGUGACCUGCAUGCAAACAUAAGCUCGUUCGUUUUUUUUCUCCAUAUCGAUCAUUUUCGUUACCUGAAUAUGGAGGUGCUGUGUAUUACCGAGUAAUUUAUUGGACUUUUCCGAUUGCACGUUAUGCCUUUGAAUGAGUUCCAUCAUGCUUCAGAAACCACAAGAAAACCAAAUGUGGAUUACGAAUAUUUUAGUAACUUCUAUAUGUUCAACUUCUUGAAAAUAAACGAAAUAAUUGUCAAGCUUUAUUCCAGACCUCGCUAUGAAGAAAAAUUAUAAAAAGUCCUCGUAAUCUUUAAAAAUAAUAAUAAUUAAAAAAAAAAUCAAGACCAGACCUGCCAAAAAUUAUACACGGCUGAGUUCCGAUCCUGAACUCGAGAUCAAGUAAAUUUGGCCUUUUAGGGCUACACACUAAACUCGAUUAUCGUUUAAGAUAUAUCGAAACAUAUGGUCUUUUCUAAAAAUUUAAUACACCACUGUUAUUUCAAAAUAAUAAAAGCAUGUGAAUAACUUAUGUUGGAUAUAUUUAAUUAUUUAUGUAUAUCUGUAUCAUGUAUAUAUGCAUAAUUUUAAUUUUUAAAUCAUAAAAAUAAUCCGACAUGUUUAUUUUGAUUAUAUAUAAAUGAAUCAUUAUAAUUUAUAGAGUAUUAAAUCAAUCUUUUAUAAACUUACUUGUACACUAGAAACUGUUAAAUAAAAUUUUAUUCCAUCCAUAAUCUAAAACACUUGGAAUUAAUCAAUUGUAUUAUAGAGAUUUAAUUAACAUGCAUACAUAAUAUUGUCAUUAACUCUAAAACACCAUUUGUUUUUCCUCAUUAGCAAUACAUAUAACACACAGACACAGACACAAACACAAAAUACAUACACACACAAAAAUAUGAACUGUCACACACAAGUGGAAAUGUAAUAAAAUUAUCCUCAAAUACUCAAAAAAUAUUCAUUUAUUUUUCCUUUCUUACUAAUUUUCUGGAAAAUAAAAGAAAAUGAGGCCCCCUUAAUAAAUUAUGUUGAAGAUGAGAAGACAGAAGGUACGAAAUAGCAGGUAAGAGGACAGUGACUUGGGACCUCAACUACACCAUAAAAUCACACACAACAAUUACUCAGAAUAUAAUUUAAUUGAUUUGAUAAGAAAUAAAAAUUAAAAAUUAAAAAUUAAGAAAAAAAAAGAGUAUUUUUUUCCUCCCCAAUAAGCAUAAAUCAAGAUUCUUUUUUUGGAAAAAACACAAAUCGAGGCUACGUUUCAUAUACAGUACAGACAUAUAUAUACAUAUUUCUUCCCAUAUAUAUUAAAAGAUCAAGAUUACAUUACAUUUUUUUUCUUUUUGGUUCUUGAAUUUAUAAUCGUACGCAGGCAAGGCAACAUCAUAUGAUAAUGGAUAAGAGAUGAGAGAGAGAGAGAGAGAGAGAGAGAGAGAGAGAGAGAGAGAGAGAGAGAGAGAGAGAGAGAGAGGACCUUGAGCUGGAAUAGUCAAAGAGUUUGCCGGUGGCGGAGAAAACGAUGAGGGCAAUAUCGGCAUCGCAGAGAGUGGAGAGUUCUUGAGCUUUCUUGAAAAGCCCUCUUCUCCUCUUUGAAAAGGUCACUUGCCUCGCUGUCAAGUUAUCUAUCUUCUUGAUCUGAAUCUUUUGCCUCACCAUUUCUUCAACACCCACCACCACAACACUGCAACUUGUAAAAAACCCACCACUAUUAUUAUUAUUAUAGAGAGAAAGAUAGAGAGAGAUAGAUAGAGAGAGAGAGAGAGAGAGAGAUUUGAGAUAUGGGUUUUUGAUAAAAUUAAACAAAACAAUAUAUCUUCAAGUACAAAACGCACAAUCUCAGAGCAGAAGAAACCCUUCUUCCCAAAAAAAAGGAAUCAAAGAAACCAAAACCAAGAAAGAAUCUUUUUCUAAAAAUUAGAAAUGGCAGUGAGGGGGUGGGGGGUGGGGGGUCUGGGGAGGGGUAGAACUUAGAAGAGGAUAAUAAAUACUAAUUAUACAUAAAAACAAAGCUUUAUAAACUGGGUUUCAUUUUGCUACUUCGGGGAAGAAAUGACAUCACUGCCUGCAGAAGAGAGAGAGAGAGAGAAAAGCCAACCCUAGAGAGAGAAAGCAAGACACACAAAUCUGAGCUGCAGCACAUAAAAAUGAGCUAAAAGCAGCAAUUGGGAAAUUGCCUAUUGGGGGUGGGGGUGGGGGGGGCGGGGGGGGGGGCAGGGGGUGAGGCUGACUGGUAUAUAAAUAAAUAAAUAAAAAUAGAGUUCAAUUUCUUGAAAUUGCCUUUCUGGGACUUCGAUAAGAGAGCUUUAUUUUUCCUCCAAUUAGGACUUUCCUUUUGAGGAGCUACAAUUAAAAUUAAAAAAAAUUAAAAGAGAAUAGCACCCAAGUGGUAACCCUUGACAUUUUAUUUUAUUAUUAUAUAUAUAUAUAAUAUAGAAAUAGGGUAACCAUUGCCACUUGAAUACAUGCAUGGGUUAUUUCUCGAGCGAGAGAAAUGGGUUAUUUGACUACGGACCGAUUUAACCCGUGACUAGACUCGGAAUCAGUAUGUUGACCAUAGAUAUUCGUUGACCUUGAUUCUUGAAUCGGUUUGUGAGUGGUCAUGCAUUACAUGGACCGGUUACUUUUAUGCUACAUUCGGUGUAGGCUGAUCUACACACAUCAAUGUGUGUGUGUUUGUUGUGUGUAUAUAAAUGGUAAAGAUUUACGAUGUGUUUCAUCGGUUAGUAUAACAUAUUAUAAACUGAUUCAUUAACUGUCCCGAGAAAUGCUGCGACUCUCCUAGCCAUUUACCGUAUGUGUGUGUGUUUGUUGUGUGUAUAUAAAUGGUAAAGAUCUACGAUGUGUUCAUCGGUUAGUAUAGCAUAUUAUAAACUGAUUCAUUAACUGUCCCGAGAAAUACGACUCUCCUAACCAGUUACCGUUCAUUAUAUUACAAUAUAAUUAUGGAGCCGAUGAUUCUACCCUCCUGAUGUCUCGAACCCAUGACCAAUUAGAUUAUUGGUGUAAGGUACUUACCAACAGGUUACUGUGUGUUGACAUUUUUGCAAUUCAAAAAUGUAAUAAACUUAAACUUCGUGUCUGUAUUUUUCAACUUCUACAUUAAACCUCUCGAAACCGGGACCGGCCAUGUAAGUACUGAAUUACUAAUACGUUUUUGGCUCGACUUUAACAAUUCAUUAUGAAAUGUCAACGAGAAAGAUCAUUAAUGGUAAAUUAAAUAUUGGUGUACCUAUUUGGGCCGUCCCGAUAACUCAUCAAUUAUUCUUAACAUCGGACCACAAAAUGAGGGCCCAAACGCAUAAUUCAUGUAAUUAAUGGACUACAGUAAUCUCGUAAAAUUAACGAUAAAGCCCACUAGGUCAUUAAUCUAAGUUAUUGUUAUUAUGCUAUUUUUCAUCCGAUUGAGUUUUGUGAGAUUCUUUGAAUUCGUCGUACAUAUCAGCUAACUAUAACUUGAUAGGGAUUUCAACCGAAUCAACCUUUAGUUUACAUAUGCUUAUCUCCCAGGCUUACGAAUUCAAAUAAGGACUUCUGCAUAGGAUUUCAAGUAAGAGCCACAACUGAAGACUUCGUUUAAAGACUUCAACUUUCGACAACUUUCUAGGUAAUUACGCAUUCAAUAUCGCCUGCUUGUGCGCAGUGAACCAACGAUUUACAUUCCCCAUUAGUUAUCCUAGUUAAUUAAUUGAUACAACGUCAAACAUAACCAUAUAUAUGAUCAAAUUAUAUCUCAAAACGACUUUGAUCGAUUUUAAAGUAAUAUAAGACUCUGCAAUUUUACGAUAAGUCGGCUAUUUUAAGAUGACGUGGAGAAGCAACAUACAACCAAUUAAGUAAAGAUUAACUCAAAGGCUUUAAGGGCAGAAAAGUAGUUUCACUCAGAAGUAUAAAUUCAAUUUCAAACUCUGAAUAUCUCUUUUCUUAUAUAUUCUAAAACAAAAAUCUUUUAAGAUUAAACAUUUUAUUGGUUUCUAUUUUAUUAUAAUAUAUGUAUGUGUAAAUUGUAAUUGAGUUGUUUCCACUAGGCCGUACGGAAAAGGGAUGUGGUGGGGGCGCGUGACAGCGGAUAAAAACUGUGGGUGGAUAAUUGUGUUUUGUUUGUUUUCCCCACUGUCUUCAAUUCUUGUACGGACACAACCAAUUUGUGGACUACGAUUUUGGGAAUUAUUCCCCCCCUUUUUUUUUUCUUUUUUAAUUUAUGUUUCACUUAUUACAAAAUCUCUGCAAGAAUAUCUAUUGCGUAUUUUCAUACACCAACUUUAUUACAUUACCUACUAAUUUCUAUUCAAACUAUACAUUUUAUUACUACAAAUUCUAAUUAUAAAUAGAGUAAAUAGCAUUUCAAAUGACUCCUUAUCUUUUUAGUGUAAGCACAAAACCCAUUCGUGGUUGAUGGAGGUAAAUUUCCGUUACUUUUUUUUGUCAGAUUUAAACGCCAGUGUCAAAUGUCAAGGUGAUUAUUUUCGCAGACGACCCCCUUGAAAUUUGACUCGCACGGUUAAAAAUAUUACGAGAACAGGGGGGUCAUCUGCAAAAGCUUGGAACUAGAGGCUUUAAGUGCUAUUUACUAUUAUAAAUAUUAUAGGCACUACAAGGUUUGUGCCUAGGCCCCAUACGGUUCGACCGAGUUAAAUGUCUGCAUACUCAUAAGUUGGGCCUCGGCCCGAUUCUCCAGCUGUGCUAUUUUAUUUUAUUUUUUUUAAUUAAUUUCGAACGAAUCAAAAAUGAAUUAAAUUUAAAAAAAAAGAAAUCCAAAGGUAAUGCAGGGACGUGUAUCCGAUAAAAUUUUGUAUUUUACUGGGCAAAUUACGGCACCUUCCUAAGCUAAGAUCAAAUUAAACGAAAAAACUCAUCUUCUCUAGGUAAUUACAAUCACCUCAUCAGCUAUGUAUUAUCUUACAAUUUAAUAGGUAAAUUUGGCAUUGUAAAAGUGGACGUGUAAGACAAUACAUAAUUAAGGGAGCAUGAUUGUAACCAUCCAAACAUAAGGAUUUUUUCGUAAUUUAAUUUUGUCUCAGAGAGUUGAUUGUAAUUUGCCCUAAUUUAUUUAUGGACUUUUGUGGGCCUAUUCGUUGCUAUAUUUUGGGCCUCUUUAGAUUAUAAGGGCCUAUCAUUCAUCAAUUCCUCAUUAAUGUGACACGAUUUAGUAUAUGGAAUCCUUACAACUUUUCUUCUUCCUAAAAUUAGAAUUUUAAAAUAAUAAAAUUGAUUUAAAAAGAUUUAUUUAAUUAUUGAAAGGGUAUAAUAAGUUUUUCUCAAAAAAAAAAAAAAAAAAAAAAUAGGUGGGGGGAAAUGUUCCAUUUGUUACUUCAAAAGGGUAAGUGAUAUUUUAGAGGUGUAAAUUCUAUUUAAUCGUGAAGCUUUAUUAUUGGUGUCAAUUUAUAUUUACAUUUAGUGAUUAAUUAGAAAUUUAACUUAGUGAUUUCUAUUAAUUUGUAUUCAUGAUCUAAAAUAUUUAUAGUUAAAACUUCUAUAAAUUAAACCAUCAAGAUGUUAGUUAUUAAUUUAGUAAAUAUUAAUUUAUGGAUUAAUAAUGAUUAAUUAAUUGUAGUUAGUUUAUUAAACAAGAGGAAAAGUCGCAAGAAAGUCAAAUGGUAGUUCCAUGAAACGUGUUAAAUGCAAAACGUUCAAUACUGCGUGUCACUCUUUAUUUUCCGACGUCACUAUCUCAGAAAACGAUUUAUCGGUGGUGAUGCUUACACAUAUACAUACAUACACACCCCUGGGGUGAAAUUCCAUUAUUACCCUCGGCAUCCCUCACAAAGCGCAGGCCCUUUUCCGUAAUAUACCAGGCUAACCCCACCCACCUCCCCCAAAUUCCACUGCCCUUGUUGCUCUUCAGUCUGGAAGUAAAUGGAUAAUCACUUUGUUUACCAAGGAAACCGGAUGGAGCACCCAUUUUUCACGGCGGCCGCCACCCGCACGGAGGCGCUGCGGUGGCUGACCAUCGCGGAGCAGCUGCUGUCGGCGCGUGACCUGCUCGGGAGCAAGUCGUUCGCCACGCGCGCCCGCGACUCCGAACCCGCGCUCGCCCACACCGCCGACGAGAUUCUCGCCGUCGCCGACACGCUCAUCGCCGGAGAUAGGAGGGUCUCGAGCAACCAGCACGACUGGUACGCGAUCCUCCGCCUCACGCCGCAGCAGGGCCGCGACGCCGCGCUCGUCGACGACCAGUACCGCAGCCUCGCCCUCAUCCUAAACCCUAGGAAAAACAGAUUCCCCUUCGCCGAACAAGCUUUCCACCUCGUCGUCAAUGCCUGGUCUUUUCUCUCCGACCCUUCCAGGAAAUCCUUGUACGACACAGAGCUUAUUUUCGGUCCGUCGCCGCCGCCACCGCCGCCGCAGCAGCAGCAUCAACCGAACCCCUAUAGUGACCCCAUUCCAACAUUGCAGCAGAACUUCAAUUUCUUCGGCGGUGGUGCUUCGAGCAACACCACCCAGCCGCCGCCGUCGCAUUCCUUUCCCCAAGUUCAACAGGUACAUGCUUUCACACAAGUCGGACCCGCAAUUAGCGGGUCAACCCACCCGCCCCGAGAACCCCAAAAUUUCAUGAGCUUCCCUUCGGGUACCAAUUUCGUUUUCGGGUCCGGGUCUGUUUCUCAUCCUAAAUCGGACCCUGCACCUCUCAAUAAUCAUGCACAAGGAAGCUAUUAUGCACCUUUCACUAGUCAUGUAGCUUCUGCUUCUGCUUCUGCUUCUGCUUCUGCUUCUGAGCCAAACCAGGAGCAAUUGAACAAUCAACAGAAACAACCCCAAGAAAACCACUCAAAUGUUAGUGAUAAUAAAACUAUUCAUAACGAAAACCCGAUUGAGAAUGUUGGAUUGACAAUCGAGGAUGAGGUAGAUGUGGAAACAAUGGAUGAGGGCGAAGAAUUGGAGGAGGAGGAGGAGGUGGGGAGAUUCGAUUCACCGGCAAACGAGGAGGAGGUGGAGAUAUCCGAUUCACCGGCGAAUGAGGAGGAGGGGUCGACUUUCUGGACCGCCUGUCCUUAUUGCUAUUACAUGUAUGAAUAUCCUGUGGUAUAUACCGACUGUACUUUGAGGUGUCAAAAUUGCAAGAGUGCGUUUCAGGCGGUGGUGAUACCUUCACCACCGCCCGUUGUGGAUGGCCAAGAUGGGUAUUUUUGCUGCUGGGCGUUUUUCCCGUUGGGUUAUUCGAUGGAGAAUUGGGAGAAAAACAAGGGUGGUUCUUCAUCUUGGACGCCAUUCUCACCCAUGUUCACUUCCCCCCAGAAUGGUAAGAAGAAACCGGCUCCUCCUAGGGUUUAUAUCGACGACGAUGAUGCUUUUCUUGAAAUUUCCUCUUCGAGCGAAUCCGAUGAUGAUGACUGGCGCAACGGUAAAGGCAAGAAAGGUAAGAAAAAGGCCAAACGUGUGCCGAAUAGAAAUGUGAAGAUUGCCGAUAAAGGUAAGAAUACGAAAGCGCAAGAUGAGCAUGUUGAGUCUUCGGACAGGGCGGAGAUUCCCGUUAAGGCGGCGUUUGAGUCCAGGAAGCAACCUGGUAGGGUUGUAAAGAGUUCCGGGAAGUUGGAUUUGAAUGUGGAGUUCUGUAAUGAAGCUGAAGAAUCUGCUCCGAGGAAGAAAGAAGGGAACGGGCCGGGCCAUGGCGUGGAAGAUAAUAUUGAAGGGAUCGGUUUCUUUGAGGGUCUUGAUGAAUUUCUUAGCAGUCUUCCGAUUCUUAACGCUGUAGGUGAUGACAAGGCCGUCAAGGCGGCUUGAUCGAAAAAAAUAAAAAAAAAAAGUAAGACCCCCUUUUUUGUGUCUUUUUUGAGCUUUCCGAGGCUGGUUAAUGUAGUAAAAAAACUUAAUCGUUUGACGUGAUUUUUGGCUUAUUGUAGUAAAUUAUGUAGAUUUAAGCUGGAUAUUAUGUUAUUAUGUUAGAACAGCUUGUUUUUUUUGUCUGGUUUGAGUGCAUAUAUAUUCUUGCAUGUGCUUUUUAAUUUGUUCGAUAAUUUGCCGGUUGUGUGGUUGAGAUUACUUCCACAUUAAAUGAGCUUAACAGAAUCGACGAGAAGGUAUUACGAUGCUUCUAUGAUUACGUUUUUAGUUGCUAUGAGUGAUACUUGAUGUUUGGUGCAGUUAUAUGGUAAGUUGUAGUGAUUUUGAAAUCGAACCAAGUCUUUGUCGUUGUGUGGUUUUACAAGUUAGGAUACGUGCUUCUUUGUGCGCAUUUAUUCCGUUUUCUGGCAAUACAUUUUUUUUACUAUAACUAGAGCAAUAAUUAUUGUUAUACGUCGAUUAACGGGUGAGUGAUGUUGCCGUUACUUCAAUGCGAAAAUCGGGUGCUUGAUGUUUUAUGUAAUUAUAUGUUCGUCCUUUCUAUCUUGAUCAUCUGUGAUUUAUUAUGUUUCUUUUAAAGUUCUUACUUGUACAUUAUGCUUGUGUUUUUUCAUCGCAAUAUUAAACGGUUGAACUCUCUCGGUUUCCUAGAUGCUGCACCCGGUGAAAUACACCGAGGAGCUUUCUAGAUUUGAUUUACCCAAAAUGUGCAACACAACACACACACUGUUGGAAAUUUUAUUUAUUAAAAUAAAAUUAUUUUUUGAAUGAAAAUAAAAAAAUAUUUUUUGGCACAUAUUUGAUCAAAUAUGUCUGACAAUAUGAAGAGGUGUGCCUCUUCACUUAUUUAAUUUUCUAAGGGUUGUGUUCAUGAAUCACAACUAUUGGAAACUUAUAAAUAGAAAUUCCACAUGUUUGAUUUAAUAACAACAUAAAAAUUAAUUCAAUUAUAUAAUUUUGUUCUAUGGAAUUCUUCUUCCUUUCGCCUGGAAAUAUUCUUCGUAGAAUAUUUUUUUUCAUAUUCGAUUCGAGAGUUUGAGAUACAAAGUAACGUUCGUUGUACUCGGGAUUUUGAGUGCUCAUAUGCCGAGUUAGCCGUUGUAUCUUGGGAGACCAUUGCCAAAUAACCGUAAGCACCGUAACGGGACAAUAUUGUCUUAAGGAAAGAGUAUUCUCGCCUCGGCUAAUCUUUUCGUAUUUCAACUAAUCUAUUUCAUCAUUUUACUAAAUCACUACCUGUUUUAUGUAUCGGGAACAACAAUCUUAAGACAAUAAUUUUGUGUGAUUUAGUAAAUUGUGUUUUCUACACACCUUGGUAAACGAGAUGUAGAAGAAGAUAGUCCAAAAAUCAAGAAGUUACAAAGUCAAAUUGGAGAAAAAAAAUCAUUUUCGGGCAGAACAUGAAGUCCACGUUCCUUCCCAUUUUCGAAGUUGUUAAAGUCCGAAUAUGGAAAAUUAACAUUUCACAAAAGUUGUAGAUAAUCAAGUUGGCUUUUCAGAACAUGUUAAAUCUUCACAAUCGGAGAUCUUACGGAAGAGUUAUGAUAAAAACACGAAAGAGUGCCAAAACUGUCAAUGCACCUUUUCAUGUAAAAUACAACCGUUCGUGACCAAUGCAACUUAUCGCAUAUUAAACGUCUCACCAAUGUCCAAUGCACGAAAUUUUGGUGAAAGAAGACGGAAUCGAAGAAUAAUGAUGAGGUUAUAUAUUAUUUUGCGAUUCAUGAAUAUUAUUUAAUAAUUUUUGUGGUUCCAUUGUAGGUGCAUUUUUACAGCACACUUAUUCCGACUUCGAGGAUUAAUUUGAUCAUGAUCCAGUCCUAAUCUCAUAAAACGUGAAACAUAAAAGUUGUAGACAAUUUUGUUGGCUAUUCGGAUCAUAUUGAAUCAACAAAAUCGGGCUUCAGACGGAGGAGAUAUGAAUAAAUCAUUCAGCACUGCCAUAAUAUUGACACGAUUUGGUGCUACCCACGAAAUUUUGAAUUGACGAACAUAAAAUUUAUCGGAUAUGCUUUCUAAUUAUAAGAUAUCUAAUUUGUGCAAUAAAUUGAUAGUGUUAUACGAUAUGAUGGUGGAUUAUUGCAUGAUAGUUUAAUUUUCAUGUGUGGAAGCAUAGUAAACCAUAUACGAUAUAUAUGCUUUAAUGAAUAUUCAUUAUGUUUGUGUAUCUACGUUAAUGAUACAUAUGAUUUUAUCCUAAAUGCAAUAAAGUGAUAGCGUAUAUGUUAAUUAUUUGAAUAAGUUUAUCAUAAACCGCAUGAUAUGUGCUAUACUACAUGACAUUUCUCAUGAAAAUGCAAUAUUUAUUUGUAUAAAUUGCAUAUAGUUUGAUACGGGAUUAGCUUUCUCCAAUUUUCAUUUGACGUGGAACCGUCGAGUUGUUUGAUUUUGAAUAUGUUAUAUGAAAUUUGUGGGUAUGUGAUCUUAUUAUCAACGUUUUUAUUAUUGUCUAUGAACGAUUAGACUUAUCUCGUAUAUUAAGUAUGAGUUACUUAGUAAGAGGAAUAUUAUUAUACACAUAUUAUUAUUUGCGUAAAUUCCCAUCUUCAAUAUGUAAAUUUAAGACCGUAAUAGUGAACAUGUAAAACAAUACAUAGUUCAUAGUUGAUCUUUUUUGUUAUUUAACCAUAAAUCAUGGGUGAACCGUGACCGUAAUUUGCCCAAAAGAUUAAGAUAUAUGUUUUUAACUUGUAAAAUAAUAAACGAUAAAUUACAACUACCCUCGGAGUUAUGGUCAAAUUAUGAAAAACUCCUCUUGUUUGGAUAUUUACAUCGACCCCCUCAACUAUGAAUCUUCUUACACCUCCAUCCUUAUGGUGUCAAAUUCAACACAAUCAUCUAGAUUAUGUGUAAUGUGUUCUAGUUUGUACUCGUUUUAUGUUAAAAUACAGUUUUCUAAUGCACCACAAUCUGAUAUAUACAAGCCAAAAAACACAUCUUAUGAUCAUAUAGCUUCAAAACGGAGAGCUCGAAUGGGAUAAAACUGGUACAAAACUGAUAAUAUUCCACAUAAUCAAGAAGAUUCCACUAAAUUUGAAACCGCAAGGGUGAACGUGUAAAAAAAUUUAUAGUUGAUGGGAGUUAUUAUAAGGGUAAACUUCAUUUUACCUACCUGAACUAUACCCAACUUAUAAAAUACCCCCUCGAACUUUAAAACGUACCGAAUCAGCCCCUCCCAAUAAUCGGUCAACGUUAAAAUACACAGAUUAAUUGACAUCGUUACUUUCGACUGUGCAAUUACUUUUAUAUCCUCCAUUAACUAAUCUUACUGAUGUAAUCUGCUUCCCUCAACACUUGUCAAAAAAACGCAAAAAAAAAAAAAAAAAAAAAUCUCACAUUUUCAAUUAAAACCCUAAAAUUCCUCUUCACCCACCUCUCUGAUUUCAACUUUCAGCUCUCUUAUCUCACCCUUCUUCUGUUAAUAAUUAAACAUUUUUAGAAGCCUUCCAAAUCCUUGUACUGAAACCCAUCCAAAAUAAGUUGUCGUUUGAAAGAAAUCGCGAAUCGUUGGAGCUACUUCAAAGAAACACUUGAUUUGUUGGAGUUCGUUGGCGUUUUACAGAAGUCGCAUUCGUUUGAAGCAGUUGGGGCUGAUUUAAGCUACGAAUCGCAUAGAAAUGUAUUGGAGGAUUUGUUUUGAGAAAGUGAAUCGAAUUCGUUUCAAUUUGGUCGAAAUUAUAACAUUUUGAAUUAGGGUUUUUAAUUUUAGGAUAAUUUCAGGGGUUGGAAUUAGGAAUUUCAAUUUGGGGAUAUCUUGUUAAUUCGAUCUAGGAUUAACAAUUGCGAUUUUCAUAUUUCGAAUUAGUCUUUUCAAUUUGGGGAUAAUUUCAGGGGUGAAUAAGGGAUUUCAAUUUUGGGAUAUCUACUUAAUUCGAAUUUGGGUUUUUUUUUCUAUAUUUGUUUCAACUAUGUGACAUCACCUAUGCAUUUCUGUAUUAUUGAUUUUUUUUUUUUUUUUUUUUUUGUAUUGUAGGGAAUAUGUCAGAUCAACUAUUUACUAUCAAAAUCAAUUAUGGAGGGAUGUUUAUUGAUAGAGGGGUUGAUUAUGUUGGGGGGUCAGUUUGUUGUUUGAAAGAUAUUGAUCCUGAUGGCUGAUGUGAUGUCAUAUAUAGAGAUAAUUGGGUAUGUUCAAGAAAUAGAAUAUCUUGCUAGUACACUUAUAUGGUAUAAUGAUCCUGUAGCACUUGGUUUGCAAAUUCUUGUUGCUGAUAGUGGUGUGAUGGAAUUGUUCAAAUCAUAUGCUGAUACAAACAACUUUAUUAUUGAUUUGUUCAUUGAAGCUUGUGAUUUAGAUGAAACUGAGGUAGAGUUAGACGACUUGGGGGAGAGAAAUAACGAUCACAUGGGGGAGGGAGGUAACAAGGAUUAUGUGGAGGGAAAUAACAGUGAUAGCAGUGAUUCCAACUAUGCACCAAUAACAGGUAGUGAGUCUGAUGAUGAUUCAUUGUCUGAUUUCAAUUAUUUUGUUGAGAGGUGAUACAUUAAGUGAUGGUCGAAAUCCAGUAGGUAAUGACGGGCUUGAAAUUAAUACAAAAAGUGAAGUGAUUAACAUUGAUGAAGCAUUUCAUGCAGAAGAAAAUGAAAUUCAAAGUGAUCCUGAAUUUUUAUCUGAACCCAGUGAGUCUAAUGAUGAGAGAGGAGAGAUAUUUCCCUAUUUUGAUAAAAAAUCAGAAAUGAAACAACCAAAUCUUCAAGUAGGGCUUAUAUUUGGCAAUUCUUCACUUUUUAGAAAAGCCCUUAGGCAGUAUUCAGUUAGGAAAGGGUUUCAAUUGAGUUUUGAUAAAAAUGAAAGAAGAAGAAUCACUGCAGUUUGCAAAAAUAAAUGUGGUUGCAAAAAUAAAGGGUUCUCAACGACUUAUUGUACAUAAACACAUCACAUUCUAGUUUUUUUGUUUUUGACUUUAAACUGCUUUAACUUCAACUUCAAUUCCUUGUUGGCUCUUGUCAUAUUUAGAGCUAUUUCAUGAAGUUCUUGAUUGUGAGCUUUCAGUUCUUAUUUCUCUGUAUCCAUUAUCUUCAUCUUCUCUUUAUUUUGCUCCAAGAGUCUCUCAAAUCCUUGUCCAAUUUCCAUUCAUUUGGGGCAAAUUCCAGACUCAAUCCAUUAAAAAAAGUUGCAACCAUUUGGUUUCUGUUAUAUAUGUACAGUUUAUAUCUAAAUAUGCAUUCAUUAUUAAAUUUGAAUUCAAAUGAAUGUAAAACAUACUUACAUCCCAAUUUUGGCAGCCUGCAAAAUUUCUUCUGGGAUUUUGACUUGUCCUAGCAGUUCGAAUGGCAGCUGUUUUUUGGCAUUUGCAUGUUGUUUGUGAAAAUCUAGCAACAUAAUACUUGGAUUUGUAACAAAAAACACAAGAAUCUCAUGCGUUUGUGCUACUGCUAGACAUUUUCCCUUGAUAUAGAAUAUGAAAUUAUUUUUGUGUUACUAAAAAAGGGUAAUUAUUAUGUAUAAAAAAUGGAAUUUCGAGUUAAAUAAGCAAAUUUAAAACAUUGUCAUGAAAAUUUAAAUGGGAUUUGCACAAACACACAAAUUCAAAUGAAAUUAUUUUGUGCAAAUAAACGGAAUUUGCACACCAUUUUAGGGAGAAAAAAAAAAUUUAAGAAUUUUCGUGAAAUUUUUGAGCAACUAAAAAAAGGAGAAAAUAAAAUAAAAAAAAAAAGAGAAGAAAAAAAGAAUUUAAGAAUUUUCGUGAAAAUUUUGAGCAAGUAAUAAGAAAAGGAGAAAAAAAAAUUAAAAAAAAAAAAAAGAGAAGAAAAAAAGAUGCAUGAUCUGUGAAGAAAAGGAAAAAAAAAACUGGGAAGAAAAGCAUCCAAUUAGCCAUCAAAUGUAUAAGUGUAUUGGGGGUAAAAUCGUCGGAGAAAAGUCCAACGGUCAUGCCAACGGAUACAAUUAAAAAGGUCAAAGUGCCAUGUUAGGAGAUGUGGACGGAAUUUUAACGGAGGGGCUGAUUCGGUACGUUUUGAAGUUGAGGGGGGUAUUUUAUACGUUGAGUAUAGUUCAGGUAGGCAAAAUGAAGUUUAUCCUUAUUAUAAUUACUCAAACAAAAUGGGGUUUUCGUAAUUAUAUCAUACCUCAUGGGUUGUUGUAAUUUAAAAUAAGGAAUAUAUGUUCAGAAUUUGAUUAUUUGAAUUUUGAACCCUAUACAAUAUAAAUGUCUCGAGACCCGUUUACGCAUCCGGCCCGGAAACCCAUUAGCCGUUCCUACCCGUUUUACGGGGCCCGAGCCCGAGUCCAACAAGAAAGAAGUGGCCUUUACUAAAUCCCAAGGGUCGUUUCACUUUGAGAUUCAGAUUUGACAUAUAUUCCAAUUCACUACUGCUCUCUCUCUCUCUCUCUCUCUCACACACACUUUUCUUGUAAUAAAUAAUAAAUAAUAACUACUAAUAAUAAUCUUGAUUUUCUACAAGCCACUCGAUUUAUUGUCUACGUGCAUUAAAAAAAUUACUGCAUCAUCGUUUUCUCCGUCUUUCUUGGAGAAAAACAGGUGUACUUCGAUCCCACCCACCGCUAAAUUAUAUUUUGCGAAUUAAGACAAACAACAACACCCAUCAUAAACCCAACUCAUUUCUUUUCUGAUUCAUCACAAUUUUCCUUCAAAUUCGUAGAUUUUAUUAAUUACAACAAUGGCCCAGGCUGUUUUUCAAUCCUCGUAUCUCUCUCGCUCCGAUUUCUCCAAGAAUUCAUCUAAAUCUUCCAUUGUGAGCUCUCUUUCCUCUCCCUCUCUCUCUCUCUUUUUUUGUAUGUUGGUUUUUCUUUUUGUGAUUGUUUCUUGAUUUUAUUUUUUUGUUUUUUUGGUGUAAUUUCUGGAAGAUCUUCGGCUCCCAGUUGAGAUCGCCGACAAUGGAGAAAACCCAGUUGAGAACUUUGGAUUCGGUCAAGUAAGUGGUUCGAAAUUUCCAGCUAAUCUUGUGUCCUGUGUUUUCAUUUGUGUAAUGAUCAAAGAUGUUUGUGUUGUGAUUUUUGUUGCAUUGAAUUCAUGGUGUUUGAUGAAAUGUCUGUGUUACAAAGAUUCUACUUCGCAUGUGUUGCAAUCUUGAAAUUGACAUGUAGGACACUCGAAUUCGAGUUCUGUUUUAUUUACUACAGAGUUCGUAGAAUUCGUUUACGAAACUGAUGAUCAAUAGGUUGAAUUCAGUCGUUCGGUGCGUAAUUAAACUGCAGCUAUAAAUGCUCGUUCAAAAACUAGAGAGUUCCUUCGCCCGAUAGACAGAAAAACUAAUUAAGUAAAUAAAAUCUUAUUCGAAUCCCUAAUUCUUGCACAUCGGGUUUCUAAUUACAUUGUUUGAUGGUGGUUUAUAGGACCCUACUUACUUUUUAAGAUUAAAGACUUCCAUUCCAACACUCAAGGUUGAUCCAGAGAGAUAAGCAUGCUUAUUUUAAUUUUUUUUUGUUUUUAAAUAAACAGUACACGCUUCUCGAUGAAUUUGCGUAAUUAUACUGAUAUUGAUACAUUCUCUCUUACAUGUUGUGCGCUUGCCCCCUGUAAUGGAUACAGAACAAAAUCAACUGUACGAUUAAAGGCUGUAAUGGAGUCUCCAGGCCUAACUCAAGAGGUCGUAGAAAACGAGCCUAAAGUCGGUGGGGUGACUAACGAGGCUGCCAAUCAUUUCAAGGAGUUGAAGCAUAGGUUUCUCGGUUUCAAAAAGGAUAAAUACUUGUAAGAAUUUUUGUAAGUUUGUCUGAUUUAAUAGUAUUAUUAAGCGAAGACGAGCCUUUGUUUAUACAUUUUUCGGAUUGUUUAGGAGCAACUUAGAACGCUACCAACAGCUUUCCGAGGCCCAAUACCCAAAGGUAAUUUUAUUUUGGUACUUUUUUUUUUUUAAUUUAUUAUAUUUUUUUUAAUAUUUCGAAGUCUCGAUCAUGAUUAGUAGAAAUUUUGAGAAAUUUGACAUUUCUAAAGUACAGUUUAUGGUGAUUGCGUGUGCUGACUCGAGAGUUUGUCCCUCGAGUGUACUAGGAUUUCAACCAGGGGAAGCCUUUGUGGUUCGAAACGUGGCCAAUUUAGUGCCCCCACACGAGGUAUAUUACUUAAAAACCGCAGCUCGGGUUGUAAUGAAAUUUGAAACAUAUGAUUUUUGUACAUCACACCAUCGUGUUCCGUUGAUGCAGAAUGGACCUACGGAAACAAAUGCUGCUCUCGAGUUUGCUGUAAAUUCUCUUGAAGUAAGCAUAUUUUCUUGUCGAAAGUUAAAAAAGAAGUUCCUCAUUAUGUCAAUCUCGCGAACUCGUCUUUUCGUUUUUACUUAAUACAGAGAGCUACACGGAACAAAUGUUUUCUUUUUUCGAUACACUUUUUUUUCGAUUUAGCAGUAUAUGUAAAUAUAUGUAAUAUAUAUUUGUGCAGGUCGAAAAUAUACUCGUCGUUGGCCACAGCUGCUGUGGAGGAAUCAAAGCCUUGAUGAGCUUGCAAGAUGAAGUGAUUUCAAGGUUUGAUUAAGGGAAUUGCUUUUUGCGGUUUGAAAAUUGCUAUUUGCGGUUUAUAACAAAAUUCCCAAAACAAACAUUUUAUUUCACUAAAACCCCAAAACUUCCCAAAAAAAUCCAAACCCCCCCCCCAAACGCGUAAAAGCCCAACUUGGGCGCCCAUUCAUGCAGUGCACGCCCAAGUUGGGCGUGCAAGCUGCAUUUGGGCGCCCGAGUUGAGCGUCCAGUGCAAAAAAAAAAAAUUCUAAAUGUUCGAACGCCCAAGAUGGGCGUUCGAAUAUUUUUUUGCGAAAAAAAAAAGCCCUAUAAAUCGAUUUAUAGGGAUUUUUAACAUGAAAUUGGUUCCGUAAUCGACCUACCCAAUGCAUAUUACUCACAAAAGAGUCGAAAUUACAUCAAAAAAUCGAAGCCCAACCCUUCUUCAAGCUUGAUUUCGAAUUUUCGAUUUUUUUUUUUUUUUGCUAUUUGCAGUUUUGGGGGGGUUUUGGAUAUUUUUAAAAGUUUUGGGGGUUUUGUUAUAAACCGCGAAUAGCAAUUUUGUGACCGCAAAUAGCAUUUCAUUUGAUUAAAUAUAAAUAUAUGUGUGUGUGUGUGUGUGUGUGUGUGUGUGUCUCACUACGGUAUUUAUAUUUUUCAGUAGCUUCAUAAGAAGCUGGGUGGUUGUUGGAAGCCCCGCGAAGUCGAAAACGAAAGCUGCUGCUUCAAACCUCAACUUUGAUCAGCAGUGCAAGCACUGUGAAAAGGUUUGUUCGCAGUGUGUGUGUGUGUUUCUAUCACAUAAAUUCUUACGUAAAUUCAAAAAAAAAAAAAAAGGAACCUAGGACGAGGUGUUGAUCUCGUUCUCGUUGUUGCAGGAAUCGAUUAACAGGUCAUUGAUGAACUUACUGAGUUAUCCAUGGAUCGAAGAACGUGUUGUACGCGGGAAGCUUUCGAUCCAUGGUGGCUACUACGACUUCAUCGAUUGUACGUUCGAGAAAUGGACCCUCGAUUACAAGGGUACUACCAUGCACGGCGAUAGCGAAUGCUCCAUUAAAAACCGGGAAUUUUGGACCUGAAAAAAUCGCUUUUUUCGUUAAAUUUGUCUUCUGUAUGUUGAAAACAAUUUGUAUUAUUACAAAAAGCUUCCGUCGUGUUGUGUAGUUUGUGCCGUCGUACGUUCACUUCGAUUCUCGAAAUAAAUGUGUGAUUGUAGUUUAUAAUUUUUCAUAUGGUUAACCGAUGUCGAGCGGUGUUAAUGCAGUAAAUUCGACACUCGAAUUAAAUACAGAAGUUUCAUUACAUUGUAUGAAUUAAGAUUUUCCUUGUCCGGAAAAAAUGUUUCAUUCUAAUAUAGUUUCUUUGUUCUUAGCCAUGAUUGUUGUUCAGGAUUCGGAAUUUACGCAUUCGCCCCCCUGAUAAUAAUAAUAUGGCUGCGGCUAUAUGCAAUACUCAUUCCACUUGUGCAAGACCAAAUUAAAGAAAGAUUCCAAAAGAUUCUAUUUUAUUAAGAUGGAAUGACAAGUAUGCCCAUAAAUUAAAUUGACUUUUUUUUUUCUCAUGUAAGACCAAAUACAAAUAAUGAGAAAAAAACAAAAAUCGACACCAAGGUGUCGAAAAACUAUGCUACAAAUCGACACUUAAGCGUCGAAUUUCAUAGGUAAAAAUCGACAUUGACAUGUCGAAUUUGUAGCACAAAUUCAAAUGUCGAAUUUUAUACCUAAAAAUCGACAUCUAAAUGUCGAAUUUUAUACCUCAAAUUCGACAUCUAAAUGUCGAUUUUUACCUGUAAAAUUCGACCUGUACAUGUCGAAUUCGUUUGCGCGGGAUUUUUUUUUGGAAAAUCGAUAUUCUAGCUAAAAAACCCCAUAAAUGCAUACAUUCUUGGGUUCUUCCAUCGUAAAAUCUUCUAUUUUGAUGUCUUAUGACUCCAUACUUGCCAUCUUUGUAAGAUUUGUUGAGUUUUGAUGAUUUUGAAUUUCUAGGUUUUGUGGGUUAACGGAGGAGGAAGAAGAAAGGUCUUGUGAGUUUUGGAAGAUGGAGAAGAUGAUAGUUGGUCUUGUGGUCUUGUGAUAGGGUUUUUUGUGUUUUUGAAUUUUUGGUCUUGCAUAUUUGGAAUUUUUUAUUUUUUUAAUAAAUAAGGGUAUUAUAGUAUUUAUACAUUGAAAAUUUUAAUUUGGUCUUGCACAAGUGGAAUUAGUCUUGCAUAUAGCCGCAGCCUAAUAAUAUUCCAAAUUUCGGUUUCCCCGAGUUUGCACCACCAGCCCCGGAAAUUCCAUUUCUGCCCCCCGUGGACUGAUUUACCACCAGUGACCGAAUUUCCCGAGCCCUAGUUACGGCCGGACCCCACUAGACCCUCAAUUGCCACCUGGCGACGACGAGGGCGACGAUCUUCCGGAAAACCCUGUGCCGUUCAGGAACUGAUCAAAUUGGUAAAACAGUAAGAGUGACAAAACAAUGUAUACUUGAAAAAAAAAUUGUAUCUCAAAUAAUAUGAUCGAAUCUCGAUGAAUAUCGUCUCCUUUCAGAUCGAAAAUUUGUGCAGAAAAAAAAAAGAAAAGAAAUUAAUGAAAAUAAAUUGAAAAAAAAAAAAAUAAGAAAUUGUUGUCUAGCUAGCUUGCUGUUUUGACAUUGGCAUAUAUCUACAGAACCAACUUAUUAAUUACUUCCCCAACUACCACCCCUUAAUGCUUUAUUCUCCUCAACCGCCAUUCCGUUCGAUUAUUUUCCGUUUUUCAAAUUAUCUGUCACUUUAAAAUUCCAAUAAUGCCUUAUUUUUCUUCCUGUUUUACCCUUAUUAAUCUGACUGUAUCAGACAUUAAUGCUUUCUUACCGACAUUUUUUUCAACGACAAAGGUUAUUUUAGUUUUUCUUACGCGCGUGUACAAAACUCAAACGACAGAUCGAUAUUAUGACAUAGUGGGAGUAUCGGUUGUUGGCUUUUAAGACAAACAACCAACUUUAAUUCUUGUGUGCAGCUGCAGCUUAUCUCUACUGUAAUAACUUCUUCUGUUUCUUGAUAUACAGUUAUGGAGUGAGUGGCCAACCACCCUAUGAACGGUAGUCUUAAAUUAUCGGAGCUGGAAGAAGUUGUAAAAUUAAAUGCCACAUUGCAUUAUUAAAAAAAAAUUUGUAAAAUCUUUUACUAUAAAUUCUUACCGCAACUACUAUUAUUCGAGUACCCUUUUUCGUCCAAGUUUCUUACAACAAUGUCUUCUUCUUCUUGUUCUUUGAAGUUCACAAUCUCACUCAUUGUGAUUGCACUGUCAAUCCAGGGCCUGGAGAAAACUUCGGCGUCGUCGGUUGGUAGCCGUAAAAUGCUGACGUUCGGUGGACUUCCGAGUUUGCCCUUCCCUUCAGGGACUCCCACUUUGCCACAGCUUCCACCAUUCACAUUGCCUGGAAGUGGAGGACUCCCUGGAGGAAUCCCUGGAGGAAUCCCUGGUGGAAUCCCUGGAGGAAUCCCUGGAGGAAUCCCUGGAGGAAUCCCUUCUUUCCCUGGAUUAACACCUCCACCAUUUUUCACCAGGCCUUGAUAAACUUUGUUUAUUUAAUUUCUCUCUCUUUGUAGUGUGUGUGUGUGUGUGAGACUAUUAGUAGUUAUAUUAUGUUGUGGUUGUUGUUUUUCGGUUAAUUAAUUAAUUUUCCAUUGAUGUAUAGGGAGUAGAGUAUGUGUGUGUAUCUUUGAUGUUUUCUGUAGAAAUAAAAAAAAAAAGAGGGUUUGUUUAAUUUGUUAAUCAAUUAAUUAGUUUUCACUUUUUUAAAGUGUUCUUUGUCAUGUUUUAUAAGUUAAUUUGUGGGUUUUGUAUUUUUCGUGUUGUUUGCGAGACAUCGUACGAUAGUAUAGAUGUUUAUGCGGUACAUCUAUAUAUAUAACGAGUUGUAGGUUUUUUCAUUCUAAAAAAAAACGGGCGUAAUAUAUUGAAAAUGUUAAGAAGAACUUGAUAAUAAUUUCUAUUAUAAAGAUUUCUGGUAUUGAUUUUUUUCUUCUUUCGUAAUUAUUUUGAAUGAAACAGAACACUAUGUAAACAUUUUUAGGUGAAUUGCGAAAAAAGUCGCUUAUGUUCUUUUAAUUGUAAAGAACAAAAUCCAAAAUAAUGCAAAUUGCUCGUAUCUUCUUGAAAUACUGUGUAAUUUUUUCUUAAUGUUUGAGUUCAACUAACAUUUAAACACUUAUAUAAUAAAAAAAAAAUCAUUUUAACCAUUGACUUAUCAAACAAACCUAAACGUUCAGGACAAACACCCAUCUUAACACAUUGAGUUAUAUAUUCAACAUUCAACGUGCAACGCUUAAUUAUGUCAAAUGUAACCUUAAAUCUUCUAUAAGAGGAAAUACUUAUGACUAUUGACUUAUUAAAGAUCCUAUUUUCAUCUUGAAUUGUAUAUUGAGCAACUUAUACAAUCCUCCUUUAAUAUUAGUUCAAGAGGGCAUGCUUACAGAUUUGACGGUGCUGAAAAUGACAAUUCAGAAUGAGGCACCAAAUUCUGAGGGUAGUAUCAUAGUAUGUCGGCGUUCAAAGUUCGUGUGGCAAAAUUAACUGCGUUUGAUGAUGUGUGCAACGCAAAGGAAGUGAAAAACUUUAUGUAUCUUGUGAGUGAUGUAAAGUCGUGGUUCCGUAUUCUAUUGAAAACUUAUGGAAAAGUCAAACUAGAAAGAAGAGAACACAAUUUUUUUUUUCCUCCAAAAUUGAACAAGAAAAUUAACAAGUGGAUUUUGAUUUGAAUUUUUGUAUGUUAAAUUAUUUUCGAAUUAAUUAAUAUUUUUUUUUUAUAAUAUAUAGAUGUGGACAAAAAAAAUAAAAUAAAAAGAAAAAGAAAAGCCCGUUUAAUGAAACAAAACGGCCCAAUGACUAACUACUAAAAAAAACCCCAUUAUGUUUGCCCGACCCGGACCCGGACCCGAACCCGAACCCGAAUUUUUGUUAUAAAAGGGGAGGAACUCAUGAAUGGAGAAGACGAAGAAAUAAGAAAUUAAAAGAGGAAAGAGGAAACGAAAAUAAAAAAAUUGAAGAAAAAGAAGAGCGAGGAGGAAGGAUUAUAUAUGGCUCUGUGGGCCGAUGGAACAGGUGAGAGUUCCUCAGCCGUAUCCGCCGCCGCCGACGAGGAAAUGACCGUCGGUACGUGCAGAUUUCUUAACCCCCAAAUAACGAGAUUAGGGUUUCUUCACUCAGAGAGGAUUUUCUUUUUUGUCCUCUCUCCAGCGCUACUAUCAUGGUUUCCUGCUGCUUAGCUGUAGCAUCUUCUCACGUUUUGAAAUUCUUUUUUUUUCUUUCCUGCGGCGAACUACUGGAAAUUUAUUAAUUUUGAAUUGGCAGAUGAUGAGGAUGAGUACGAUGAGGCUGAAGGGGGCAACCGCCUCCUUGGUUUCAUGUUUGGGAACGUCGAUGAUUCUGGUGAUCUUGAUGUUGAUUAUCUUGAUGAGGUGUGCUUCUAUUAUUUCUGCCAUCUUUUUUAUUUAAUUUUAUUACCAAUUUGUCUGUUUUGAUAUUGGAGCUAAAGAGUCGAAGGAAUGAUGAAGAGGGAUAUUGAUUUCGUUAAAUUCACCGUCUUCUUGUUUCCGAUUUGCGCGUGUAAAGAGUGGGAUUUGACAGGGGGUAGUUUGCAUGAAGUAAACAUUAACUUUACAUUAAUAAUGUUCAUAUAAAGAGAAACCCCAAUACCACUUAGGGUAAACUGGGGUGGUAAGCUCGAUUUUUUAGUUAAUACAAGCUUGAUGUCUAGCAUGAGUUGGCUUUGGAUAUUGGAAUUUGAUUCGACAGUAUGAUUUAAAUGCUGAAGAAUGAAAACUUAUAGCAAUAAAAAAUUAGCCAUUGUUAAUAUGAAGGUAUUGUCAUGUUCCAUAAUCAGUCGACUAAUUCCUAAUCUUCGUCCGAGUUAUUAACUAUGAAUAUAUCGACCCUUAGUGAAAAAAAAAUGGAUUUUGUGAGCAUUUAGGUGUAAUUGAAGAUUGCUAACCCUGUCUUAAUCCAAUUAGCAAAAAUAUAUAUCGCAGACCGAGAACUUGAAAAAUGGAAAAUCUUAUCAUAGGGUGCAGUAAAAGGAGGAAGCAAAUAAGUGAUGUACCCUUUACAAGUAUUCUUUACACAAAUCAAGUUCAUUAAAAAUUUAGGUGCGCACUUCGGCUCACAGAGAUCUUUAGUUUCGUGUAAAUAUAAAUAUCAGAUGAGACUUGGUUAGGUAUCAUAUUAUUCUAAUUUCGGAAGUUUCCAUUUGAGGGUUCAACGCCAAAAGUCAGUUUGAGCUUAUUGACAGUUCUAGUUUCGUGCAUGUGAAGUAUUUGAACUACUGGGUAUGUUUUAGUUGAUAUACAUUGGAAUGACAUUGCCCUAUUUUUGUUAUGUAUUUUGAGUUAUAAAGAAAGUCAUUCUUUGAAGCUAAUCAAAAUUUUCCUUUUUCUUUUUUAUGCAUAAGAGCAUGUUGAUAGAACUUAGAGUAUAGUGACUUCUGGAUAAAUUUGCUUUACAUUUGUCAUUAAUUGAAUACCUAUGCUGCCUGGUUUUAGGGAGUUGUUUAUCAUCAUUUAGUGCCAUGGACCAUGUUGUUCCUUGUGCUCAGAUUUACAUCAUUUCUUUUCUAUUUCUGUUCUGUAGAUUCAAUUUUCCAAACAAUAUAUUAUUAGUGAGCUCUCAUGUCAAAUUACUAUAUGCUCAUCUCUUAGCUGUCUCAUGCACUGCUCAUAAAAUAAUCCAACAUUGACACCCACGUGGACUAUUACACCAUAGUUUGCAUCUCCCCAGGAGCAUAUAUAAUUUUGAUAAUAUGAAAAAUUAAAAUAGCUGCUGAACCUCUUAUAGAAUUCUAGGAUCAAGAAAUAUUUUGUUCGAGUCGGCACUUCCCAUCAGUUGUUUUUAGAGAGUUCUCUUUUCCUAUCAGGAAAUCAAUAAUUUAUAGAUUUCAAUUACCCUAUAUGGAAAGAAUGUUCUCAGGACUACGAUUUAAGUUUGAAUACUGAGAUAUUUAGGUUGCGGUAUGGAUAUUCGAGUUUCUUAUUUACUAAUAAUGAGUAGGCAGAUCUGGCACUGAAUUUCUAUGAACCACUGGGUUACUAAAUGGCAGCUUCCACUUUCAGACCCUAUUUUGAUUCUUACGUGCAGUUAGGUCAUGAAAAUUGGCAACUAGUCUUAGAUACCUUUUUGUUUAUCCUCUCUCCCUGGCUUGUUGAUUUUUUUUUUCAUGACAAAUGCAUGCUAAACUGUGAAUCUUCUUUUCAGGACGCAAAGGAGCAUCUUGCUGCAUUGGCUGACAAGCUUGGUCUAUCCCUGAAAGAUAUAAAUGUACGGAGAUCUCAUACACAUCACAACCAUGGUUAUAAAUUCUAGAGCAGACAUUAGUGGACUUAUAGACUGCGUAUCAUCGUAGUUGACAGACAGUUGUUAGUUGUUGUGCUCCGAUGAUUAUUUCUCUAAUGAUUUUAUUCUUUCAAGUUUCAGCUCGCUGUAAAAUCACCAACUACACCAUCCGAUGCUACAGAUCAAGGUGAUGAUGUAUUCCAGGGAACACUAACUCAUAAACUUAUCGAAUUUCAGUUAGUAUGUAUUCCUUUUCUAUGAAGUGGGCCUGCUUUGUUUAGAAAUAAUCAUGAUUUUGUUUCUUGGUUUUUAUUCUGAAGCAGGUCUUAGUAGUGUUAGCAAUCUUUAAAUGAUAUAUUGCUACCUGCGGUUGUCGAUAUUAAUUAAUACCUUGUUGCUAAUGGAACUAGUAUUAUCCUGGUUGUUAGAGUAAUGAUGCGUGUGCUUUCUUUGCAAGGGCUAUGCCAUCCAUCCCAAAAUUCCACGGAAUAAGAUUUUUUUAAUCUUGCUGUUGCUAAGUUCUUGACCCAUAAGGCGAAGAAACCAAAUUAAAAUCUAUGUAGACCCUAUAUUAUUAGACACCUAGAUGAUGAUACCUUACUCCAAAGACCGAGAAGUAAUGUUUACUUGAUCCAUCAGUUGAGAAGUUCUCUUGACAUAAGGUGCACAUAAGAGAGGCUGAUCACUGUAUGGUGUAUAUUGUGUUGUGGCCAAUUUUUAUAACCACCUAAAUUAGUUUCGUGAUAUCUUUGAGGGAUGAGGAAUUGUAGCAGCUUUAAAGUGUACUGAUGCUCUAGUAUCAGUUGAUGUGGUAUUAAGUAACCUGUUUGAAACUGGAUCUAACUGGCUUUUUAUUUUAACCGGGAAAGGGCACUAGGUCCAUCACGGUUACGUAUAUAAAACCGGAUCUCGUUCAUUGUUUGAAACUAUCGUGAACUUAUAGAAACCGAUAAAACCGGAACUAGCUGUAACCACUUAAUUUGCUGGUUAUCAUUUCAAAAAAAAUAGCAAAAUAGAAAAGAGAAAUGCAAACCAACAGAUAGUAGGACUAUAUAUUGUCUUCUUCCUCUUUUUCUAAAAUAGGGCAGGUAGUGGAGCUAUGGCUGCUGCCAGGAGAGGGACCGGAACCUUUUGGAUGUUUGAAACAAUAAAAGUUGUUAUCAUUUUAUAUAGUGGCGGAACAACAAGUUAAAAUUCAGUUUGACGAGUUUCUGUCGAGCAUGGCCUGCAACAAAGUUUAGAACUUAAAUAUUUUAAAAAGUAUGUUGAUUGGUGUUUGAUUAAUUUAUAUUUUGAUGUAAUGAAAUAAAAAGUACAAUAAUUAGUGUAUUAUGUUAUUGUUUUAUAUUAUAUAAUACAAAAUUUAUCUGGUUGGUCCGUUCGCUCAACUCUAACCUGUUUGGUUGCUGCCUGGUUUUAAAAACGAAGGUACUAAAGUAACAAAUUAAUAUACUGUAUGUAGCCACACCCUUAGUCUAAUAUGUUGUAGAAGUUCUGAAAUAUCUAUACUAUUCAUUCAGGCUGCUGACAAUUGUUGCACAUGCUUUUGUGUCAGCUUUAUUAAAGCUCUUAGCAAUGAGAUGGUGUGUUGGUUUAAAACCUUCAAAUUUGUAAAAUGGCCUAGAAACUCCAGAUAUGAAGUAAAAGAGAGUAAAUAACAAGAUUUGUAAUCUGUCUUAACUCUGAAGUUAUAACACUUUAUAGAUGCUGAAUUUAUCAUAAGCAUUUUACCUUGUACGGACAUAAAAGUGAUGGAUUAUUAUUCAUAGUACGGACAUAUUAGCUUAUACAUUUUAUGUAUAUUCACUUUCCCAAUCUUCAUGUCAGUUCACGUGUUCUAUGGUCUUGUAGGUAGAUUCAGUUAAAGCAAGAGAUUAUUCAUCAUAUAUUAGCACCAGUUGGCAUUUUAAAACAUCAUUCUUUCCUGUUUCUGUGCUUUAACCCAAUAUUUAGAAGUUGAAAUUUAUGUUGAGUUUACUAUAGCAUAUAUAGACUUAUGUUUUUCUACCUAUUCAUUUGCCAUUUGUACCCAAUUCUGCUAGUCUAGAAUACAUUCUUUCCUCAUUGUCUAUGUAGUCCUAAUUAAAUAUUUUUUAUCCCUUCUUCUUUCUCGUGCACACCAGAUUAUGGCAAGAAGGCAGAAAAUGCUGUUGAUUAUGAAGACAUAGACGAGCAAUAUGAAGGACCGGAGGUUCAAACAGCUACCGAGGAGGAUUUUUUAUUGCCAAAAAGGGAUUUUUUUUCCAAAGAAGUUUCAGUGACUUCGUUAGAAAAUACGAACUCUGUGUUUGAUGAUGAAAACUAUGACGAAGAAGAUGAUGAUUUGGAAAAGCAAAACCUGUCAGGAGAAGGCAACUUUGAAAGUCAGCGGUUUUCUCCGUCAGGUUUAACUUUACUUCAGAAGCCUAUUACAUCUGUUGUACUUCCUCUCAUGUUUGUUGUUUUAUUUGAUAAUCAUGUUCUUUGCCCUUUUUUAGUACAUAUAUUUAUUGAAAAUCUCAAAUUUAUAACUUAAUAUGUGCAAGUCAUUAAUGCCCAUUUAGUCAAGUGUACCUCUCCAUUGAGUAGCGGUUUUAUUCAUAUUUCAAUCCAAAACUCAUGAUUCUCUCUCUGUCUCUCUUUUUUGUGUGUGUGUUUAUUUCAGUUGUUAAUAUGAAUACAAUUUUUUUGUUCCCGCGCAGUUUCUUCUACUUACCGUGUUAUACAUGUCCUUAAAAUUCCUUUUUGUGUAUUCCUAUCUUCAUUUAGUUUCAUUAUUUACUCUGUGAUUUUAUUUCACAUUAUCCUUGUUGCUUGUCACCUGUAUUUAUCUAUUCAGUUCUUGAAAUGAACUAUAGUACUAUCGAUGAGAAGCCAAGUGCUCUGAUUAGGACAUCUUAUAGGUCUUUUUUUAUGUAAUGCUGAAGGUGCACCAGUCCUAGGUUGGAUUCUGCUGACUGAGUGGGUACAGAACAAUUAUUGCUAAAUGGUGAUUGGUUCUGAGGAAUUAUAUCUCGGAUAUGGAGAGGGUGUUCAAAUGUUUGGGUUUUGAACUUGCAAAAUGUAGCUAAUGCUGAUACUUCUUGUGGAGAUAAUUUUACAUGAUAUGGUCAUUGGAAAGCUAGUAGUAUAAGAAUGACGAUUUGAUAAGCUAACUAGAAGAAAGAGUAUGAAAGCAGUGGUAUAACUGAAAAGGACAAAGGCUUAGUGGGUAGAGAGUCAAAGAAAAUUAAUGUUGCUCUCUUUUUCUUUAAACCAUGGAGGAUAGUAAAAUUGAUAUAAAUUAUAAAGUAAAAUACUAACCCACCGGCCAAAAUGUAUUCUACUGUUUUCACCAUUAUGAACCCAUCAAUUUCGUAUAACAUGCCACAUCUAAAAUCAUAAUGACUUGAUGAAAGGUAUACCCUGUCAUCUUUAGUUCUCUGUUUGAAACACCGAGCCCUUCUGUGGCAGCGUAACACUUCCAAUUUCUGUCGGUUCCGAUCCGUAAAGUUCCAAUUUUGGAACAACUUUUUUCAUUCCAUUUUCCGAAAUUCCGAUUUCUGAAUUUUCUGUAUUUUUUUGGAUCGGAAUUAUAUAUAUUGGAAUUUCCGACUUCUAAUUCAAAUUAGUUUCCAAAACAUUAAAUCCAAGACUUGCGGUUAUUUUCCGAAAAUUACACUUAUAAGUAAUGUAUAUUAUAUAAUAUCAUUUAUUUUACUUGGUGUAAAAUAAAUUAAAUAUUUAAUUAUAUUUUACUUUAUGAGCCAUUUUGGAGAGUCAUUCUUUUAUUUGCUAUCAAAAUGGCAUUUUUAAAAAAUGAACUGAAACUUAGUUCUUUUUGCGUAUGCAGAAAGCUAUAGCAUCAGAGAGUUUUUGUCGAAGUGUGUGUUCUUACUUUUUGAAAUUUAUGGAAGUUUCUAAAAAAUUUCGUACUAUUUGAAAUCAUAAAACUAUGCGAUUUCCGAAAUUUCCGAAAUUCCAAAAAAUUCCUAACUUCUGCAAUCAGAAUGAAUUUUUAGAUUCCAAAAAUUUUGGAAUUGGAAUUGGAAUUUGAAUUGGAAUUGAUUUUGUACUUCCGAAAAAAAUUGGAAAAUUUCCGAAAAGGACAAUUCCGAUCUGUUCCGUCCGACUUUCACCCCUCAUCAUAUCGGUGGUCGCAUAACUUCGGUUGUUCUCUUAUCUAUUAUAAAAAUAAUACGCCAAUGGCUCAGAUGCUUAGUGCUCAUUAUCAUGCAAUCCAGCCGUUUCAUAUUUAUUUAGUCGAGUGAGGAACAGUGGUUUAAAUUUCUAAAAUUUUGGUAAAAAUUACAGAUGAGAACAUUGAAGUUAGUAAUCCGUUCAUGAGCAUACUAGGUUUCUGAAAAAAAAUAAUUAUUGGGCGUGCGCAAAGUGCACUCAGUUUGAAUGCCAAUUCCUUUCUCUAGUUUUAUGAUCGUAAAAUGUGGUUUUUCCUCAGCUUGACCUGUCAGCAGACGUUAGAGAAGCUGUAGAAUCUUACAAUCACCAGUAAGAUGGAUAAAUUAACAAAAUAUACGUCGGGAACAAUAAUAGAAAACCUAAAAAUGAAGGUAGUGAAACCUUUUAAGAUUUUGUGUAGAUUAUUUCAUAGAUAUAUUGACUAAGGUCUUACUAGAGCAACAUGUGUGAUAUCACUGGAUUUGGAACAUGAAACAAUAGAGGUAGGGGUACUUGGAGCUGUAAAUAUUUUUAUUCUGGAUUAUAGAAAUUUAUCAGGAAUUCUAUGUGUCAGUGAAUACUUAACAUUAGUGUUUCUAAUAUACAUUUCUUACCUUCUUUUUAUAGGUGAGCAGAAUUACAUUCAUGAAGUACUUACUGAAGAGGAAAGUCUUGCAGAAGAUGUUCAUACACUCCUAGAUUCCGAGGAGGUUUGUUGUGUUUUUUGUAGGCUGUUUUAUUAUAAUUUUUUUAAGCACACAAUUUUGUCUGUCAACUUUUUUAUCAAAACACCUCAUUUUAUCUUAUAAGACAGAGGAAGUGGGAUUGGGAAUAUACUGUUCCAUAGCAGUUCAUUCGCUUUGCCCAAUGAUUUUGGAUUUCAUGUUAUUUGACCUACGCAUGAUUUAGCAGGAUGAUUCAAUUGAUUCUGAAGACUCAAUGGAUGGUGAUAUGUCUUCACUGCUUCCUGUUCUCUAUGUAGAGGAUGGGAAGGCAAUCCUACGAUUUUCUGAAAUUUUUGGUGUCCGUGAGCCCUUAAAGAAAGCGGGAAAAAGAGAUUGCCGAUAUAUAGUACCUAAAGGUGUGUAUUAUUUUGUUCCACUGUAGUGGAUCUUUCUCACAAGUUUUGAUAGCCCUUGUAACGAUUAAGAAUAAAAAAAUAACAUGUGUGUUCAAAUGAAUUAAUAUUUUGUAAACUUUUAGCAUUUUGGUACACAUGUUCCAUUUAAGUCUGCCAAAUAUUGCAGUAAGUUUUGUUAUAUGCAUUUACUUUCUGAAUAAGCAUAUUUUCUUUCCAUUUUGCUAGAGAAAUACAAGUCCAUGGAUGCGUCCGACAUCGUCGAGGAAGACGAAGAAAAAUUUAUGAAAACCCAUUGCCAAGAUUUUUCCUGGAUGAGACCGUUUCAUAGAAAAAGUGAUAUUUUCAUGUCGAGUUUUGAAGGCGACUCAGUGAAAUCUGGAAUUGUUUGGGAAUCAGAAAAGAUGUCUUUGGGUGUUGAUGUCAAUAAGAAGGAUUCCUGUGGUUCUGCUGAACCAAUGAAAGAUGACCUCUCAGUAUCUAAUUUUGCAGAAUGGAGCUCUUCUUUCUCCACCAAAUUUUAUCCUCUUGACCAGGAAGAUUGGGAUGAUAGAAUUGUUUGGAACAAUUCUCCAUCUUCGACGGAUAAUUUUGUAGAGAGUUGUGAGCUGUCUGGACCUGAUUCUGACACAGUUCCUGAUAAGGAUAUGGAUACGAUAGCUGAAGUACAAACGCCCGUGCCAGAAAUCCAAAGUGAACCUCAUUAUAAGGAUCGCACAUCAUUUCUGAAUAGAUCUUCUAUUUCUGUGGAGCCUUUUGGCGCAGACAGAUAUUCCGAAUUGACUAACCUUACCACCUCUGAGAACAGAAGUCAUCCCCAACUCCUAAGGCUAGAGUCUCAAGUAGAUAAACAGAACACAAACUCUGGAGGUGUAAAUGAUGUUGCUACUGAAGCUAAACUUUGUAGUGAUGCUAUAAGACGUUUUAGUGAUCUCACCUUACUAAAUAGAGAGGUAGUGGAAGGAUCUUGGUUGGAUAAUAUUGUGUGGGAGGCCCAUCAGUCUAUUGUGAAACCAAAGCUAAUUCUUGAUCUCCAAGACGAGCAGAUGCUUUUUGAACUUUCAGAUGCGAAGGAUGCCAAAGAUCUGCAGCUUCACGCGGGAGCAAUGAUCAUAGCACGUUCUUUCCAUCCUGGCGGUGGUGAUUCGGUCGAGCUACAUAAUCAUGGAAUUGUACCAGCUGGACGGUUCAAUAUUUCUAAUGACAAAUUCUAUUCAAACAGAAAAUCCUCUCAGCAGCGAUCUCAUUCCAAAAAGCGGACUGUCCAUGGACUCAAAGUUUUGCAUUCAGUGCCUGCACUUAAGCUGCAGACGGUGAAAGCUAAGCUAAGCAAGUACGGACUCUCUUUAACUUUUAUUUCUUGCCUUCCCCUUAAUGGUUAAUGAUACAUAGCUGCAGACGUUAAAUUCAUAUUACUCUAGGUUGGUAAGAGGUCAUCUUAUGUCGGUUUUUGUGGAGUGUUGAGUAAGGGUUGAAGUGCCUGCCUAGUGUAGGUAUAUUAUUCUGAUGCAUUUGCUUACCAGAUGCUUAGCUUGAGUUCUUUAUGUAUCUUAAAAAAUGACUUGCUUUAUAGCUUAUUAUUUUUGCUAGUUAUUUAUGCCUUUAAUUUUUUCCUCGCAUCGUUAACCAAUCUUCUUUCGUCUUUACUUCUCUGCUCGUUGUGAAGCAAUUGCUUUUUUGCAGCAAAGAUCUUGCUAAUUUUCAUCGGCCAAAAGCUUUAUGGUACCCACAUGAUAUUGAGGUGCCACUUAAGGAGCAGGGGAAAUUAGCCAUGCAGGGACCAAUGAAAAUCAUUAUGAAGAGUUUGGGUGGCAAAGGAAGUAAACUUCAUGUGGAUGCCGAAGAAACCAUCGCCGCUGUGAAGGCUAAAGCUUCAAAAAAGCUAGGUAGGUUGUUUCUAUUAACCCUGAUGUCUACUUUCUUUGUGUUUCAAAGAAUAUCUUUUUUUAGACAGGAUUAGUACAUGGAUGACGUACGCUACUUUAUUUAUUUGACAGAUUCUAGUACGUCUUUUUGUAUGUAGAUUUUAAACUAUCUGAGCCAGUUAAGAUAUUUUUUUCUGGGAGGGAGCUUGAAGACAACAAAUCCCUUGCUGAACAAAAUGUUCACUCAAACUCAGUCUUGCACCUGAUUCGCACAAAAAUAUAUAUGUUGCCCCGAGCACAAAAGCUUCCUGGGGAGAACAAGUCAUUGCGUCCUCCUGGGGCAUUUAAGAAAAAAACUGACCUUUCAGUAAAAGAUGGACAUGUUUUCUUAAUGGAGUAAGUUAUCACAAUAUUUUGUCAUUGGUUUUAUGAAUUUUGAACUUAUUCACCUGUUUUGAUCCUAAGUUAUUAUUAAUAUCCGAUUCCAUUUUGUGUUUUUACUAUACAUGAUGGAAAAUGCAGCAGUGAAAAAUAUUCAAAGGACACCAAUUAUUUAUGUCAAAACAACAAAAAGUGUCAGUUUCUGGAAGUGCAUAAGAGGCACUGUAAUCGAAAGCCUGAUGUAAUGUUGUGACCUGAUAGAAAAUCAUAAUAUGAAUCGUUCCACUAUAUGAACUGUGAAUUGGGUGGUAGUUUGCUUAUUUAGAGAUUAAUUAUAUAACUUCUAAUACUCAUUUGUUAUAGGCCAAUUCCCAAAUAUGCUUUUUGUUUGAGCCUUCUUCUUUCGGAUAUGUUUUUCCUUUGUUUUACAAAUUAUUUCUACUAGACUGUUGCAGCUUAUUGAUUUUGUUGUUGUAAAUUAUAAAAUGCAGGUACUGUGAGGAAAGACCAUUACUUCUGGGUAAUGCUGGAAUGGGUGCAAGACUGUGUACGUACUAUCAAAAAUCUGCACCAGGUGAUCAAAUGGGUAACUUACUACGAAAUGGAAACAAUGGCUUUGGGAGUGUCGUGAAUCUUGAUCCUGCUGACAAAUCUCCUUUUCUUGGAGAUAUAAAACCUGGUUCCAGCCAAUCAUGCCUUGAAACUAACAUGUAUAGAGCACCCAUAUUUCAACAUAAAGUCGCAUCAACUGACUAUUUACUGGUUAGGUCUUCAAAGGGUAAGCUGUCCAUCAGGCGCAUUGACAGGAUUGAUACUGUUGGACAACAGGUGUGCCGACAUUCUUACUAUACCUUUUAUUUCGAUUUUUCAAUGUUCUUGUUUAAUCUGUCUGAGCUGUGAGCUUUCUCAUCAUUUUUUGUUUGGUUUUCCAUUGAAAUUUUCCAUCGUAUAAGUGUUGCGAUGCAUAAAGACCUCUUGUGUUCACACCCUCGGAAAAAUCUUAAUUUUUCUGCAGUUGUCAGAUAGGAUUAAAUGGAAAAUCAUUUUGAUUUUUUAUGCGAUGCUUUCAGUCCCUUUUGUAUUCCUAUUCCCAGUGGCAGUUAUUAGUUUUGUGAACCCCAUUUUCUAGAUUUUUGGGUGAGUUUUGGAAAACUGAAGAUCGUAUAUAGUUUAAGUUGGAAAUCAUGCAUAUGGCAUGUGCUUUGUCAAACAUGCUAGCUUUGAAACUUCAAAAUUAUCCCUGAGGUAAUUUAAUGCCAUCAUUUCUGAUCAAUUGUUGGUUUCUUCUGUCUUUGUUAGAAAUAUAAGUGAAGAACCAAGAUUCUUUUUAUCUGCAUUCUAACGAACUUUCAAAGAAUUGACUGGGUCAUCAUUAUAUUUAGGAUAUUGUUUAUCUAGUGAUUGAUAUUCUGAACGUACCUAUGUGUUUUUUGGUGCUUUACUUGCUUACAUUGAAUAAGAGAACCUACCUGGACAGUUUGUUUUUUUCAUUUACUGCCCAGGCCUAGGGAUGUUUUCGUUCAAAUUUACUGAGAGAAGUAUGAGGUUCCUUUGAAAGUAGACUGCUUUGGAUGGAUUUUAGUUUAAUAUGAUUUCUUGUUACCAUCUGAAUGACUAAACUCAUUAGAAGCUCCUAGCACAAUAGCACAAUCUAAAUGACUGCACAUAUAUUAUUUAUUUAUUUAUGCAUAUAGGGUUAUAUAGGUUUUCUGUUUGAACAUAAAUUGGCCAGAAAUUUAGUUUUUCAUUUUUUGAUAAUAUUAGGCCCAUAUGUGAUUUUUUUGUGGGAUUAAUUAAUGUGUUCUAUUUGAGUGUAGAAUAUAAUAUAGGCUGUAUAUGUUUUCUGUUUUUGUUUAAAAAAAAGUUGGCCUUGUAAUAGGGCCUUACAACACACGUUGUUACAAGUUUUAGACCUUUCUGGCGGAAAGAAGGUUCUUAGUCAAGGAAUAGGCGAGGCUUCCUUUAUUCAAAUUGAAUUGGCUAUGAUAGACAGAAGAUAAAGUUAAGGCUCUAAUAAGUCAAUGCAGCAAAUUUUAUUAGGUUGUACCAUGAGAGUUAAUGUAGCAAAUUUCUCAGCUUUGCUCGUGGAUAUUGGACUAGGGGUUUUUAUUUAUUUAAGUUGGACCUUUCAGCUUGUGUCUAUAGGUAUACAGUCCAGUUUAGUCUCUGUUAUCUUCCAUCGUUGAAACCAGAUGUCUCGAAUGUUCAUGCCGCUUUCUUAUGGUUAUUCUGGUAUUUGAAGAUAAAUGUCUUGGAAAUAUGCUACCUUAAAUAAUGCAAUGACUAAUCCGAUGUUGAUAUUCCUCAACAUGCAUUCUAAAGUAUCUUUAAAUGGAUUUGUUGGAUCUCUCUUUUUUUUUGUUUUGUUUUUGUUUGUUUUUUUUUCUUAAAUUUUUAUAAUUGCACUAUGAUUGGCCAAUGCUAGGACAUCAAGAUUUUUGAUGUUGUGAGUUCCUAAUUUCUUUUAACAUUUUUAUCCAUAGGAGCCUCACAUGGAGGUAAUGUCUCCUGGUUCCAAAGCUGUUCAGAUCUAUAUCAUGCACAGGGUGUUGGUAUACAUGUAUCGAGAGUUUCAUGCUUCUAAAAAACGUGGUUUGCGCCCUUCCGUACGCGUGGACGAGUUGUUCUCACAGUUUCCUACCUUGUCUGAAGCAUUUCUCCGGAAAAGGCUGAAAAGUUGUGCAGAUUUACAGGUAUUGCAUUCUGCUAUUAAUUUCCCCUGGCCCUAAUACCCUCUCUUGCCCUCGGGGUACAAACACAGAUAAUGGUCACAUUCAGCAAACUGAAAAAAGAGGAAAUAACAUAAACAAUUGUACUAAGAAUGUAGAAAAUUUUCAUCUAGACAAAUGAAAGGAAAACCGUGAAAAAUGUGUUUUAAGUCUGGCAUUUAUAUUUUGUAAGAAUUCUUAUUCUUGUUAAUUUCCAAAUGUUAAAAUGAACCUUGUUUCUUGCAUGUGCCACUAGAGAGGUCCAAAUGGACAUCUUCUUUGGGUUAUGAAGCGCAAUUUUCAGAUUCCUUUAGAGGAAGAACUAAGAAGGAUGGUGACACCUGAAAAUGUGAGUACUUGCAUAAACUUAUCCUUUCUCCUCAUUUUGAAGUUUGAAAUAAAUGCUGUACGAACAGAUUUUCGUGAUUGAUUUUUGAUUUUUAUAAUCUCUUAGAAUUAUGACAACUUCAAAUAGAUAGUCAAUUUACUAUUGGUGAUAUUAUUUUGUCAUAGAGGAUGGGAUACUUGGCUAUCGUCUUUGGCUUUAAAAUCCAGCAAAGGUAAGGGAUGGCCAACAACAUAACCCUUAAAAGCCAAUAUACCAGUAUGCAUUUCUAUAUGUUUCUUCAUAUAUUCUGGACUAUGUUAUGUGAUACAGUAGUUUGGAAAUUCUAAGAACAGCCUCUGUAAAUUAAAGAAUAGUCGAAAAAUUUAGCAGUUGAUUGUUUAAUACCCAUACAUUUAACAUCUUUUAUUUUUUAAUACCCAUAAAUUGGUGAAAUGGGAAUGAAGUAGUAGUAAAGCAUAUUAUAUGGUUAUGUGAAGUGUGUCCGAUGUCUCAAUUUUCAUCAACAAAGGAAAUAGUAAUGAUUUCAUUUGCGGCUCUCCCAGGGUCCUGAUCUGUCAUCCCUGGGGUUGAGGAGCAAGUUUUGCGAACAACCAAAAAUUUGUUCGGCAACCCUUCCCUGGUUUUCGCAAAUGAUUUUAGCAUUAGAUUUAGUACUUAUUCAUCUAUAGUUUUGUAACGGAGAACUACACAGAGGUAAGCUGUUCUACCUACAAUUUAUGGACUGUUUAUUUAAGAAUGAUAGCUGGGAGAUGGGGACGAUAAAUUUUGAAGUUAAUAGACAUCAAUUUUCCAUGUAUCAUGACCCAUAGGUAGUUCAUGAGUGGCAAUAAAGAGUUCCUUCCACAAUUGCUAACCGAAGGAUAUGUCUAAUGUCCAAAAAAGUAAAGCAAGGAUAUGCCUAAUAUUUAUAUCAGUGAUUUACAAUGGCCUAAGAUUGUCUUUCUUACAGUUUUCCCUUUUUGCCUUAGGUCUGUGCCUAUGAGAGCAUGCAAGCUGGCCAAUACAGGCUCAAAAGAUUGGGAAUUACAAGGCUGAUAAAUCCUUCAGGCCUUUCAUCUGCAAUGAAUCAGCUUCCAGAUGAAGCAAUUGCUUUAGCUGCUGCAUCACAUAUUGAGAGGGAGCUGCAGAUAACACCAUGGAACUUGAGUAGUAAUUUUGUUUCCUGCACAAACCAGGCAAGCAGUUUACCUUUCUCAGAAUCCCCAGCAACAUUGUGGACUCGUAUAUGGCAGUGUGUAUCUUUACUUAUAUGUAUUUUUUUAAAUUGCUUUACGAGUUAGAAGCAUUCUGGCAUAUAUUAACUUCAAACAUAUAUUCUGUUAGAUAUAUGUAUCCUGAAUAAAGAAUAAUAUAUUCUAUAAGAUAGCAUGGAAUCCUGAAUGAUGUUUCACAUGAAUUUAAAAAACAUACGUAAACAUCCCUGGAAUGUAGUAAAUUGGUGUGUAUGUGCUUGAUUUUCCUAUCUUUCCCGGGAAAUUUGUUUAUAUGUAUAGAAUGCCGAACAAUUCAUCUUGGGUUAAUGUCUUAAUGAUAACAGGCAAGUUCCAUGUUAUAUUUCAAUUUCUGUAUGCGGCUAACUAAUUCCGUGUAAAGCUUAUUUUUAAUCUUAAAUUUUGGCUUCGGGUCGACCAAAAAUAUAUUACAGCAUAAGCUGCAUUAUUUACUUUAAAUGGAAGCCAUCAAUUAAGUACUGAUAUUCCUGUUUUCUAAAAAUUAAAAUUGGAUGAUCAAUUUGUUCUGUUUUCUCCUUUUAACUGUCUACCGUUGGUGAAAAGUUGUAACUUUCAUAAGAAAGUAUGUUGAGAAGAUAAUUCCAAUGUAAGUUGCAUCGUUGUGUAUAAAAUUAAGUCAUGUUUUAUGGUUCCUGUAUUGACAUUGAAGUCAGUGAAUCAAAUCUACUUUUGUUGCUGUUGUAACAUUAUCCGUAUUGCUGCGAUCGGUGUUAGAUGCAUCAUAUAUUGCUUAAUUUACUUUCUGUUAUGAGCAUUGUGACUAUUUCGUAUAGAUUAGUCUUACAUUGUUGUUUGUGGUCUCUUUAUAUUCAGGAUAGAGAAAAUAUUGAGCGUUUGGAAAUAACGGGUGUUGGAGACCCUUCAGGAAGGGGCCUGGGUUUCAGUUAUGUCCGUGCAACUCCGAAGGCCCCAGUCUCAAAUGCGGUAGUGAAAAAGAAAGCUGUCGUUGGUAAAGGGUCUACUGUGACUGGAACUGAUGCUGAUCUACGCAGAUUGAGCAUGGAAGCUGCAAGAGAGGUGUGUUGGUUUUGUGUCAGGAGUCUUUUAUACAUUGGAAUUACUGUAUUCUGUUUUAGUAUUUGAAAUGUUGUAAGAUGUUGGUUUUCGCUAUUGUCUUGUUCUCUGUCUUGAUUGCUUUUCUUUGUUGAUUGAUGCUUAUGUCUAUGAAACAUAGAACAUGGAGUUUAGGAUUGAAUGUAUUUAAUUAAUAGUUCAAUGGCAUAAGAGUUCAUCGCAGUGCUUUAGUUCUUUCCUAGUUUAUCUUGACUCGGCAUUAGAAGUAUCAUCCAUACAUAACGAAUUGUUGUGGCGUAUUCACAUCAUAAUAUAUGAAUAGUAAGAACUAGAAUGAUUGUAUCUAACUAAUACUGCACCUGCAAGGUUUUAAUUUCAUGUUAUCAGAGACCUAUCAGAAAUCUCAAUGGGUUAAUUGGAUUCUAAAAGACAGUCACAGAGAGAUACUGUUUCUUUGGUUCGAUGGCAAUAGUUUACCGAUGGUGCACCCUAGUUUCUCAAUCUUUUACUUAGUCAGGCACCUUGUGAAUUGAAUCUGUUAACUUGUAUGAGUUAUUGGGAUCCUCGUAGUUCAACAAGGUUAGGGCGUAGUUUAGGUCCAUUCCGAAUGCAUCAAACAAACAUGAAAAACUAUCAAAUGACUCUGCGGACUCCUUAAAACCUCAUUCAGUACUCAUUUUCCUAAUUUACAUUUUCAUACAUCUGUGGAAAUAUAUAUUGUUUUUAUGGACCAUGCUAAUGAGGUUUUACUGUGUUUACGUGUAGCUUCUCCUGAAAUUCAACGUCUCAGAAGAGCAGAUUGCAAAGCUAACUCGAUGGCACAGAAUUGCUUUGAUUCGUAAGCUGUCAAGUGAACAAGCUGCAUCAGGUGUCAAGGUUGAUCCAACAACAGUCAGCAAGUUUGCUCGUGGACAACGUAUGUCCUUCUUGCAACUGCAGCAGCAGACUAGAGAAAAAUGUCAAGAAAUAUGGGAUCGACAAGCUCAAAGUUUAUGUUCUGGUGAUGGGGAAGAAAAUGAGAGUGAAUCAGAAGCUAACAGUGACUUGGAUUCAUUUGCUGGCGACUUGGAAAAUCUUCUGGAUGCAGAAGAAUUUGAAGAGGGCGAAGAGGAUAACUAUGACUCUAAACAUGAGACUGUUGAUGGUGUCAGGGGACUAAAAAUGAGAAGACACCCAUUGCAAACUCAAGCAGAAGAAGAAAUUGAAGACGAGGAAGCAGAAGCAGCGGAAUUAUGCAGGAUGCUCAUGGAUGGUACAAAGUUUUUAUAUGUAUGGAGUUCAAAGUUACAAGCUUUACAUUUUCCUAACAGUGAAAGAUUUUCUUAUGGUGACAGCCCGUGGUUUCUAAUAUAUAUGCUGAACUAAUGUUACAAAGCAUGGGGGAGCAUGUUUCGUUCAUUUUGAUUUUUUUAUCGUUCAUUUUUGAAUUUUUUACCUUGUAUUAUUUAUGCACCAGUCCUGCAUGUUAUUAACUCUGUUCUCUGAAUAAUACUUUAGGUCCAGUAGUAUUCCAUUUUUCUUAGUAAAAGCAAGAGGUCUGUUAGAUGUAACAUAGAUAAUGGGUGAACGUGGUGUAGUUUUUAAUCUUUAGAGAGAUUGUUUUUGGGUUCAGUUAAUCUUUCUGCUUAGUAUGAUUUUUUGCAUUAUAAUUUUAGUAUUCAAUCUUCUAUAUACGUGGAUAUAUAGUUUGUGUGACUCUUCUCAAUCUGAUUAUAUAAUGAUUCUCCAGUAGAUGAUGAAGCUGAUCGAAAAAAGAAGAAGAAGACAAGAGCAGUGGUCGAGAAAGAGGGGUUGCCCUUUAAGUCAAAGUUCGGUCCGGAAAAUGCUGACGGAAUUAAGAAAAAUAAUGCAGUUUCUAAGAGAAUAAUGCAACCUGAGGUAUCCUUUGUAUUGACUGAGAGAAUUACCAAAGAUCAAAAUGAGGUCCGUACUUGUUUGAUAUUCAAGUCUAAUCUUUUAUGCAUCAUCUAGCGUUGACGUCGACAAUACUAUUUUUCAUUAAUUCUGAAAGUGCUGAUCAUGAUCUUCAUAUUUUUUAAUCUUUUGGUGCAGGGGGAGAGCUUGUCUGCUAAGAAGCAUCUUCAAGGGAGCUUAAAAGCCAAGAAAAAGAAUGAAACGGAACAAAUGGGGUUACUAAGCAAGAAAGUUAAAAUUUUGGCGGAUGGGAUAAAUGUAAGUUUGCCUCCCAAACUUUGAUAUAUGAUCAGUUAGCCUCAUUAUAUGAUGUUAGCACAGUACAGGACAUGUUUGUGAAUAUACAUGCUGCAUGCUGAUUUAAUUUGUUACAUACUGUUUGUCUUGUAACUUUAGUUGGACAUUUAUUGGAUGUCUAAACUUUAGUAACAGAAGCAGUUGUCAGAAACUCUGAAUGCAAGCUUCUGUCAUUUUCGUUUUGGUUGGUGGUAGUGUGAGGGUCUCAGAGCUGCUUUAAUUUGAGUUACCAAUAUCUGUUACAUCGGAUUUAGUAAAAAAAACAAAGUGAAUCUUGGUACUGAGAGUGCCGCUUAGGAUGUGAGAUUUUUAUUACCAGGGAGAGUAAAAAGCAAAUUUUGACAUCUGCUGCUAUGAAAACAGGUGAUCAAGGAAAAGAAAUCAGCAAGAGAUAGUUUUGUCUGUGGGGCGUGCGGUCAGGUACGCAUCAAUUUAGAAAGCAGUAUGCAUCAAUUUAGAAAGCAGUAAUGUUUGCGUCGAGAUGCUUAAAAAUUGAUCGAUUUUUUUCCACUUGCUACCUCAGCUUGGUCAUAUGAGGACCAACAAGAACUGCCCCAAGUACGGAGAUGAUUCUGACGCACGAUUAGAAAGCAUAGAUCUUGAGAAGUCAUCAGGCAGGCCUAGCUUUGCAGAUCAAGCAGAGCAGAGUCAGCAGAAACCUUUUAUGAAGAAGCUCAUACCGAAAAACGGGACAAAGUUUGCUGCAUCACAAGCACCAGAAGAUGAUAAACCAACUUUUAAGGCAAAAGUUCUUAAGGUCAAAUGUGGUGCAACCGACAAAAUUCCAGAUAAACAAACACCCACUACUUCACAGAGCUCUGACAGACCAAUGAUGUCAGAUGCCGAAAUAGGAAACAAGUCUGUUGUUAAAGUCAAUAAAAUUAUUUUUUCAAACAAGAUGAAACCCGAAGAUGUGCUGGUUGAAACUCCUAAGCCCUCCAUUGUAAUAAAACCACCAGUGGAGGCCGAUAGAGACCAGCCUCGCAAGAAAAUUAUAAUCAAACAACCAAAAGAGAUUGUGAAUUUGGAUGAAAAUAGCCAGGACGGAAGUUUUGGCUUUGACUACAGGAAAACAAAGAAAAUAGCUGAGCUGUCAAGUUUUGAUAAGCGUCAGGAACAUGAAAGCAGACACUUCUAUGAAGAGUCAUCAAGAAUGAGAGAUCCAGAGGGUAGCCAAUCGUGGAUGGAAGGGAAAAGGAGAGCUGCUGAGCGACAACAAGCAGAAAGAAACAGGAGGGUAGAAAAAAUGAGAUUGAUUGACGAUCAGCCAGCAUAUGAGUUACUAAGAUAUGAAGUAGCUAUUCGUAGAGAAAGAGAAGAAGAAGAACGUAAAAAAGCACAUGCAAAGAAGAAAAUGAAGAGAAAGGCUGAAGUAAAGGAUGAUUACUUGGAUGAUAUUCCUCCUAGAAGAAAUGAUAGAAGGAUAGCAGAUAGAGAAAGAAAGGUGCCGAGGAGGGCAGAAAUCGAAACCCCUGCUACAAAGCGUCGAAGAGGAGGAGAGGUAAGUCGUUUUUUGUUAUAUAAUCAUUCCUAAAGCAGUGAGUCUUAUUUCAACCAAGUAGUUGAGUUUCAUCCUUCCAAUUUCUCUACAGCCUGAAUCAAGUCCUCCACAUUUUAUCUCCUGCAUGCAUGGAAUAUAGAUAUUGUUGGAUUUAUGGAUGCAUUCAUUGUUCUAAUGAAAUUUUAGUUUCGAGUGUUCUAUAAAAUCUCUGUUUUUAGACUCGACCUUCACUGCGUUUACUAUAAAUUCUGCGUUUACUAUAAAUUCUGCUCACAAUAGUGUGUUGUUUAGACUUGUCACUUGUUUGAAAUGGAGCCAUCCUUCACAGUCAACCAUAUUUUUGCGCACGUGCAUCUUUUUUUUUGGUCUUUGUACUUGGGUUUUUUUUUUCUGGGGAUAACAAACUUACGGGAAACAAAUAUUCAAACCGCAGGUUGUUUAGCAACAUCUUGAAAGCAUUGUGGAAGAGCUUUAGGAAGAAAACGAAAUAUCCUUCUUAUUUCUAAAGCCCGUCUCGAAAAAGGAUGCCCCCGACUAUCUGAACAUAAUCAGUCAUCCAAUGGAUUUGUCCACAAUCAGGGAUAAGACAAGGAGAAUGGAAUACAAGAGCCGUGAUGAAUUUAGGCAUGACGUGUAUCAGAUUGUAUACAAUGCCCACAAAUACAACGACAGGAAAAAUCCAGGUAUUCCUCCACUCGCGGAUCAACUUCUCGAGCUCUGUGACUUUUUAUUACUCGAGUAUGAUGCACAGCUAACGGAAGCUGAAGCUGGGAUUGAAUAAAAAAAAUGAUAUCUCGUUAGGUUAGAUUUCUUUCACUUCGCCCCCCUUCUCAUUUUUUUUAGCAGAAAUGGCCAAUAAUAGCUUUCUUUUUUUCCUUCUUCCAAUUGGAUUGGCCAUUAUUAAUCAAGUGUUAGUUUUUGUAGCACACAUGCUCCGUCGGUCCCCGGCUUUGUUAUAGGUGUGCUACAUGUUGUCUAAAGCUUAUUUAUAUAGGAAGAAAAAAAAAAGAUGUAUAUUAAUAUGUACAUAGAGCAGUGUUGAAAGUAUAGGAUGAAAAAAGACGAUGUUGUAUGAAUAUGUACUCACUUCACCUGAAAAGUGUUCUUCACUUUCUUUUCUCAUUAUUUAUUUAUUUUGCGCGGUAAUUUUGUGAACAAUUUCGCGAGGGAGAGUCCGGGUCAUCGUUUUAUUCGGGGAUGGUUUUCUUCCUUCAGUCUUUAAUUAAUAAUUCGAACUCUUUUUUAUUUCGUCUUUUGGCUGGUUAUAUAUGUUUUUGUAUUUGUAGAAGUAGCAUUUAACAAAUAUGAAGCAUUGAUUAUUCAAUACAUUAAGAGGGGUGCUUAGGGGUGUGAAUCGGACGGAUUGGAUUGGAUUCGGGUGUUUUGGAAAAAUUCCGAUUUUUGUCGGAACUCUAAAAAUUGGAAAUUGAAAUUUAAAAAAUCAGACUACAAAAAAUGGUUCCAAAAUUGGAGGAUUUUUUCACACAGACACACAUAAUUUAAUAGAGAAAUGAAGCCAAAGUUCGAUCAACAUAAUUACUUACCAUUAUUAAAAGAAGCUAAACAACAUUAAUAGUUUUGCAGUGAAACCCUUUACAAGUAAAACCCCAACACCAAUAGAAACACUAACCACCACAUUCAUCAAUGCCUUGUCACUCCUUUCUUUCCAAAAUUACACAAAAAACCCUAAACAUCAAAGAAAAUACAACUCAACCCCUCUUCAUUACAUGCAUUUACAAAACCAAGUAACAAAAAAAUAUUCUUCUUCACAUUGCAUGCCAAAGAACCCAAAUAACUAAGAAAAAAAAUAGAGACUUUUCAAGAAACCUUAAAAAAUCUCACUCCAUAAUGAAUCAUUAAUCAUUAAUCAUUAAUCACUAAUACCACCAUUGGUGCACAGCAAUCCCUUGAUCCCUAACUUUACCAUACAAUGCCAAACACUGCCAAUAAGCUCUCUUACUCCCAUUCUCUUCUUCCCCAUCCUGCCAUUGAUUCUUGCACUCCAAGAAUAACUCGUCGACAAGGCACAACGUCUUGUCCUCUAGCAUUUGCUCCACCACUUGCGCCUCCGCCUUCAUUACAACAUAGUCCUCCGGUCUUAAAUCUCCCAUCAACCAAUCCACGUCCAAAUCGUAAACCUCAAAUUCUUGAUUCCUCAUCGGAUAGUUCUUGUAGAACCAAUCAAGCGCGUUCGAAUCAUCCGAUAUGAAAACUCUCCUAGGGUACUCGUUCAACGGGUCCUUGAGCAAAUCGGGUAGGAACUUGAUCUUCCUCGAAGUAAAGCUCGAUUUUUUUGCUAGUGGGGCCCGCCUAGGCGGCUCAAGGUACACGUCCUCCAAUCCCUUCAAUGCCGCCCUCUUCUUCUCCGGUGUGACCCCGCACGAAACGGAGUUCGUUGAUGAUGUCAUCGGUGAUGUCAUGGCUUUCCUCAUUGCGACCACGGUGCUCUCGAAUCUUCUGAGGUACACAAUCUUGAAAUCCCUCAGCAAUCUUAGUUCGUUGGAGGGUUCGAAUCCCAACAGGGAAAUUACCAAGCCCCCAUUUUUUAGAACGCCGUUUGUCAGUUGUACGCUGCGAAAACUCGGGGCGAAGACGAAAUCGAAAACCCGUUUUUGCCCGUCGCCGUUUUUCUUUUUCGGCAUUAGAUCAGCUCCGGCGAGCAAAUCAACUCCGGCGUCUUUCAAGAAUUCGAAAUCGUCUUCAAUGUCAGGGACGCCAGCACCUAGGAUGAAACCCUUGUGGCCUUUCUUGAUAAGGCCUUCGUCCACCAAAUCACGGAGGAGAAUGGGUAGGAUCUUGAGGCCCGAACUGGAAACGGGUUCGGGCUCGGGCUCGUACGGAGGUGCAUUGGAGGCGGCACCGAUAAUAGAGCCCAGCGAAGGCAAUGCGAGAAGAAGCAUCGCCAAGAACAGAGAUCUCGACACGAUCCGCAAAGCCCGCGAAUCGGGUAGCCUGAUCACCAAAAGGGUCCGGGAAUUCAACCCGAACCCGACCCGGUUCGUCUCGUUCAUUCCGUUCCCGCCGUUUUUGGACCGGUAUCCACGGCCCGGUUUAUUAUCCAUCUCUUACGAUUACCAAUGUGUACCUCUUUUCUUAAAAAAAAUUCGCACACAGAGAGAGAGAUCGAGAAACUUACUCUUUUCUUAAAAAAAAAUUCAAUCAAUCCUAAAAAAAGCUAAGAGAGAGAGAGAGACAAGCGCGCGGCGGCGGAGGAAACGCUUAGCGAGUGCAAAAUCUGGCGGCGGUGUGGUUUCCACCCACGAGAGCAAGACGAUUACUUCGGAUUCGACACCAUAGCAGCAACAAUUGCCUAAUUCUAGCUAUUUCCAUUUUCUUCUCUCCUUAAUCUCCCUUAUAUAUUCCUAUUUCUCUCUCUCUCUAGACAGAAUGUUAUUUAACGAGGUUUCUUUCUGUUCGUUUUACAUGAUAGGGGAAGGGCUAUCUGAAACUCAACCACCCACCAUCAAACAGAGAGAGUAGAGAGAGAGAGAGAAACAGAAAAGAAGAAGAAGGUGGGGAUGUGGAAAAUAGAGAGAGAAAGGAGGAAGAAAAGGUGUUUGAUAAAUGUCCCCAAAGAAAAAAGAUUGCUUUUUUAGUGAUGAAAAAUUGUUGAAGGCAGUGUGUAUAUAUAUAUAAUAAUAAUAUAUUAUAAAUAUUGAAAGAAUUGUUUUUUAUUAUCCGUGUGGGGACCGCGGUUGAGUAAAAGAGUUGUCCUCCGAGGUUAUGGUGUUUUGUGGUGCUUCUUAUUUUUCCUAAGUACUAUAAUUAAGGAGGUAAUUAGGGGUGUUCUAAUCUAAUCCCUCCAAUUCUUUUCUUUCUUGAAUUAUUAAUAUGUCUAUAUGUCAUAUGUGUUGGUCAUAUAUGAGAUUGUGGACCGAUUCGAGUUCGAUUUACCUGUCAAUACUUUUAAAAUCGAGCUCAUUAGUAAAGUGAAUCAUUUGAUGCAUGUAUCUAUUUCGAUAUAUAUCUUAAACAAUUGAUAAUCUUUUACAUCUGAUAAAUUAUUUUAGUAGCUGAUAAGUUGUUAGUUCUUUGUUUUUAGAAUUGAUUUUUAAAGUAUUUGGGUAAUGAGCUUAUAAACUAAUUCUACUCAUUAUAAGAUCUUAAAUAAAAAAGUGGAAUAAAUAUACUUUUUAAACAUGAUCUUAUAUGCUCCCUAACAACUUUAAUUUUUAACUUUAAGAUCUUUUUCAAAAAUUUCACCAAAUACUUUUGAAGAACUUAUAAGCUCAUUUUAACAUCUUAUAAAUUUAGCUAAACUUUCUAUAUUAAAUUGAGUCACAAUCUUUUAUUCAUUUCUUUGUAUUUUGGGUAAGUGCAACAAUUGAUUUAGUGUGUCACAAUCUUUUCUCCAAUUUAUUGUUUUCAUUUGGGUAAGUGUACCAAUUCCUUUCCAAGUAAUUGAUAUUAUAUGCAUAUACUUAAUUAUUUCUCAUAUUUAGCCAAAUUUAUUGGUGAGUGAAUGUUUAAAUUAAAUGCUCCAUUUGUUUGGCACGUCAGUAAAUAACAGCUAGAAAUGUCAAGAUAUGGUCCACAAUAUUUCAAUAAUAUUCAUUCUCAUUCAAUUUAUUAAGGGGGUCACAAUAAUUUGUUCACGGGGGUGCAAGGGCCCAAUUGCAAUUACAUCUUUAUAUAAUUUAAUAAUGGGCUAAAUACACUUUGCACCCCUGAAGUAAAGCUCGUGUAACACUUACCCCCUUAAAGUAUCAUUUGUAACACUUACCCCCCUCAACAUCAAUUAUUUUAUAUUUUAAAAUUUAAAAAAUAAUAAACAUAACAAUCUAAUAAUUAACGGUUCAUAGAAAAUUGAAAAAUAACUAAAACUAAAUUAUUGAAAAAAAAAAUAAAAAGUAAUAUAUAUUGGGUAAUAAUGAAUGAAAAUAUAUUUAAAAAAAUUAAUGAACGAAAAUAUAUUUAAAUACUUAAGAAUUCGAUUACUUAUGUAUUGAUUUCUUAAAAUUUAUUGAUAGAGUAUUUUUGAUUAAUUGGUCCAACAACAAUUAGCUAUAUUUAUUGAAUAAGUAUCCAACGCAAGAUAAUAUUUUUAAAUUUUAAAAUAUUGCAUUUUUCAACAUAUAUUUUUAGUUGUAUAAUUUAAUUAUUCUUUUAGUUAUUCCUUUCAAAAAAAUAAUUUUUUGAAGGUAUUAGAAUUUAAAAAAAAAAAAUUGUGCUUGAGGGGGGUAAGUGUUACAAAUGAUACUUUAAGGGCGUAAGUGUUACAGAUGGUAUACUUUAGGGGUGCAAACUGUAUUUAACCCUUUAAUAAUUUAUCAUUGUACAAGCUACGAUGAGUACUUAAAGAUCAAAUUAUAAUAAUGCAAAUAAAAUAAAAAAUCUGUUAAAAAAAUGAUUAAAAUCCCGGAAGGUAAGGUCAAAUUACGAAAACCUCCUUCUAUUUGGGUAAUUACAACCACCCCUUAACUAUGAAUCUUCUUACACGUCCACCAUUGCGGUGUCAAAUUUAGUGGAAUCUUCUAGAUUAUAUAGAGUAUUCUCAAUUUUCUACCUGUUUAAUCCCAUUCGAGCUCCACAUUUUGAAGCAAAAUGAUCAUAAAAUGUACUUUUUGGCUUGUAUAUAUCAGAUUGUGAUGCAUCAAAAACUGCAUUUUUUGUACAAAACGAGUACAAACUAGAGAACAUUCCACGCAAUCUAGAAGAUUAUGUUGAAUUUGACGCCAUAAGGGUGGACGUGUAAGAAAAUUCAUAGUUGAUGGGUGGUUGUAAUUAAAACAGGAUCGAAGUUUUAGUAAUUUGACCUUACCUCAGGCAUGUGGUUGUAAUUUACCCUUAAAAUAAAAUAUAUUUGUGUCGUGUCAUUAAAUAUAGGGUAAUUGACACUUUGCACCCUCAAAUUACAUAAGUUUGGCUUUUACGUCUUUAAAUUAGAAAAAUAGCACUUUGGACCCUCCAAUUGCAAAUUCUUUGGCACUUUCCACCAUCUAACAAUUUUUAGAAUGAUUGGCCGGUUUAGUUUGUCCAAGAGGGGCAGAUGAAUCAUAGUACGGGACCCUAUAAAGACAAAUCUACCCUUUGAGAAAUCCCACUAAACCGGUUGCCGGUAAUUUUUCCAGCCAAAAAGUGCAAGAGUAUGCAAAGUGCAAAAAAAUUACAAUUAUAGAGCAUAAAGUGCUAUUUUUUUUAAUUGAAGGGUACAAAGUAUCAAACCCGUGUAAUUCAAGGAUGCAAAGUGUCAAUUACACAUUAAUUAUACAAUUCGGCGGGAGAUAAGAUUAGACCAUUAGUGGACUAAAUUAAAAUAAACUGAAAAUGGAAGGACGCAUUUGAAGUUUUGACAAACAACAAGGGGUCAAAAUAAAAAUUUAACCCUCGAAAUUCGUUAUAAGCGUUUUACCUAUCCGUAAAGACAACACCACACACAGUUCAAUUCACGCACUACAAAAACACAGUUGACAGCAGAAACCAACAAUGUUGGCUUAUCCAAUCAGAGCAAUGGGUAUCGAGAAGGAACUUCUCAGAGCCGGCACCGGUCCGAAGCCGGUCUCCGGCCAGAAAGUCACCGUCCACUGCACCGGAUUCGGUAAAAAUGGCGACCUUUCCAAAAAGUUCUGGAGGUAAUUUUAAAUUAUUAUUAUUUUUUUUAAAAUAUUAUUUUGGCAGUGAAUCUGAGUGUUGCAAUUUGGGGGUAACAGUACGAAGGAUCCAGGGCAGAAGCCUUUCACAUUCAAAAUCGGCCAAGGCGAUGUCAUCAGAGGUACUUUUCGCUAUGAAUGUUGUACUUUCUUUGCCCUAAUUUGAAAUUGAGCAACUGGAAAUUAUGAAAGGGGAAGUAUUUUUUAUUUCUCUUUCUUUCUUUCUAUCUUUCAGAAUGUAUCUGUAAGUAAUUGAAUGGAUAUAUAUAUAAUUUAUGCUGAAUUUGUAUAAUUAGGGGUGCCAGCUGCCAUUUUGUUAGGAGUUUCUGCUUUUAUCUUUGAGAAAGUUUUCCAUCAAACCUUCCUAUAAAGAAAUGAGUUAUGAGAAAAUGCUGAAAAAUAGUAACUUUUUCUCGUUUUUCGGUUGCGGAUAGUAUAAAUAAUGCUGUAUUUUGUGAUUGGAUAUGUGAUGAAAGUAUAAUGAUGAUCACGAUUCAUAUGAUGUUUGUUCAUUUGCAUAAUUUGUGCUUGGACGUCUCUUAUUUUUUUGUUUUUGUUCGUUUAUUUUUCAAAGUAAUGUAUUGAAUAUUGUUUUCUACUCCAACUUUAAAUUCAACUAAUAUCAAGAACGAUACUGCAUUUGGAAAUAAGUGCAUAAUAAGUGCAGUUAUGAUAACAUUCGUGUAUUUAAGAACUCACAUUUGAUUUUCGUUUCACGCUAAACACGUAGGUACGCCAACGGUUAUCUCGAUUAAAUAUGUUGUAAACAUACACAUAAUGCACUAAUUGAACACUCACGUAUAUCGACUAUAUUUUUCCCAAUACGUUAAAAAAAAAUCUUAUGUAUUUUUCUUCCUUUGACUGCAUAUGGACUUUGUUGCAGGCUGGGAUGACGGAGUAUUAGCAAUGCAAGUGGGAGAACUUGCUCGAUUGAAAGUAAUAAUCCGAAUCCAUUACUCUGUAUUUUGUUUCUAUGAUCGAGUAAAAUCGAGAUCACCCCAAAUUCUUCAUUUAUAUUUUUAGUAAGAAGUUCUUUGCUUCUGAUUCCGUGCUUAUUCUGUUUUUCUUUUUUUGUUUUUUUUUUCUCGUGGGAGAUAUUAUUCGAACCUGCAUCGAAUGUCUCGUUGAUCUUUUUUUUUUCUUUUCUUUUUAAUCAUCUGCAGUGUACUCCUGACUAUGCAUACGGUCCAAGCGGCUUUCCAGCAUGGGGUAUCGAGCCUAACUCUGAUCUUGUCUUUGAGAUUGAAGUUCUUAGUGCUAAGUAACCAUCUUAUUACUUCUAAUCUAUGUAGUUUGUUUUGACUGAUGUUUUAUUUUUUUUUUGCGCUUUUUGAGCUUGAGCUUGUGAAGAAUCGGAACAGCGAGUUUAAUCGAGUUACGUAUGUUUCGUUUUACCGAUUUUUGUUUAUCAAAUCCAUUCUGAAACGUCGAAUUUCGUAAUUUACCAACCUUUCGAUGAGAGGUUAAAUAAGUGAAGAAAAGAAAAUUAGAUUCCUCAAAAAUAUGCCCUCACAAAUUAGUGCAUGCAAUUAAUGAGUGUUCUUUAUAAGUUGGCUGCAGCUUAGUAUUUGAUAAAGGGAAAAUUAUAGUUUUCAUCCCUCAAGUUUGCACUGAUUUCAUAUUUGGUCCUUCAUAUUAACAAAAAACACAUUUAGUCCCUCGUGUCUCAAUAAUUUAAUACUUCUAGACUUUUAGUCCUUUUUCGUCAAUUUACCGGUAAUCCAUCAGUUAAAACAGUGAUGGGCACAUACUUGAUUCUGUUAGUACUAACGGAUUAUUGACGGAAAUGACUAUAAAUGUUGAAUUUCUAAAACAUGAGGGUCCACAUGUGAAAUCGAUACAAACUUGAACGAACGAUGAAAACUGUAUUUUUCCCAUUUGAUAAUCUAUUUAUAUUUAGGAAAAAUUAGUGUUGCUAAUUAAAACCUUGAUAUUUGGAUUUGACUAGUCCUGACUCCUGAGAGCUAUGAGAUUAAAGAAAGCAUUAGGUGUAAUUAUUAUGCCGUGCGUGGAUUGCUAAUCACUUUUCGCUGCACGGAAAGUUGAUUAUUGGUCCAACAAUGUAUUAUUAUUAAUAUUAAUAUUAAAAAUAUUGGGUGUAUUAUAUGGUGGAUAAUACACUAAUAUUUUGUGAUGGUUAAUACUUAAUAGUGUUUGCAAUUUAUAAUUUUAUUAUUAUCUGAAAGUUGCACUCAUAAUAUAAAUACUAACAUGUAUUAUAUACUAUAGGUGAGUAAAGAAUGGAACUUUGAAUUUUGUCGACUUCGAUUCGAAUAUUUCUGAUUGUAGAAUAUUCUUUUUUAAAGCUUCAAUCUACAAUUUUUCCGAAAAAUGUUUGGAACGAAAAUGGAAUUAUGUUUUAACUUGUGAAAAUAAUCUAAAAAUAUUAAUUUCGAUCUGAUCCGUUCGAUUUCUACCCCUAGUCUCAUGCACCUGCCAACGGCCGACAAUAAAAUCCAUGAAAAAAAAUUGUAUACAAUUAAAAAUAGCAAAGAGAAUACUACAAUUACUCUCAUAUAAUAACUUGCAAAUCAUACAAGAGACGUAAAUUACAUUAGGCUAAUCAUGUGCGACAAACUCGAUCUAGUAAUUAUUGGUAAAUAUGUUCGAACUCAGAUCAAUUGAUACGAUUUCACUUGCUCCAACUGCUCGAUAUCUCUUACAGCAGGACUAUUAUGAACUAUUAUGAAUAAUUCUUCAUAGUUUGGUAGCUUUUGAUUGUCGGCAUUUUUUCUUCCCUACAAUUGCAAUAAUUUGUUUUCUCACACACUUCUGUAAUAAAGACAAAUUAGAGUAGACUCGUUGAAGUCAAACAUAGUAUUUAUUUAAUCAACCUCCAUUAUUUCAGUAUCCACGAAUCAGUAAUAGUUUUAUAUUAUUAAUAAUACCCAUAUUAUAUAUGUAACCAUGAACUAUUAAAAAAUAUAUAUAUUUUUUCCAUGCACAUUUGAACCUUUAGAAUAACAUCAUACGUAUUAAGGCAAAUUGAUAAUUAAGUAUUUGUAUUUCACACUAAUCUUAAUUUUCUUAGAUAAUAUUACAUACAUUCAUUUUUAAAUUAAGUAUUGUCUAAUAUUUAUCUACAUGUAUUAAGAAUAUUAAGAAAUAAUAUUCUAAUUAAUUAUUUAGUUAAUCACAACUAAUUUUCCAAUGUAUGAUUGGUUGAAAUUUUUUCGUUAUCAAAUAAAUAAAUUUUAGACGAAUGAAAAGAACAUUUAAUUAAUGGAAGAAAAGUAAAUUUAAAAAAUAAAAAAUAAAAAAUAAAAAUUGUGGAGGAAUCUAAAAGUAGGAAAAAGGGUAUUAUGGUCAUUGAAUGUAUUAUAUAAUCAGAGCAAACCCCAUUUGUGAAGAGUGCCUACUACAUUCAAUUGAUAUCCAAAAAAUACUGUUCAUCUUCUCUAUCUUCCACCCAUUUCAUCAGAAUCUCUCACUACCACUAUUCACUGUUCAUCACCAGAAGAAAAAUUUGUGAAGCUUCGGACGCUCUUCUAUCUCGAUCUGUAAGUUGUUCAUAUUUGUUUUCAGUCAUCGGUUUUGAAUUUUUUGUUCUGGCUUUUCGGUUUUGAUUUGCUUUUUUUUUUCUGAUGGAUUCGCCUCUUCAUUAAUUUUCUUCGUUACCCAGGAAAGGAAAGUAAUUUGUUUUGAAUUUGAUGAGUUCCGUUUUGAAUUUUUUUGGGGUGUAAUUAAUUGAUGAAUUAAUCAGGUUUUUAAUUCAGCCAUAAAACGCAGUCGGUUAUUUUUUUUUUUUUGAUUCGCUAAUUUUGCAUAUUUUCAGUCUCGUAUAAAUUGGUUAGGGUUUUCACCAUUUUUGUGUUCAGUACUUGAUUUUUCUUCUUCUCCGAUCUGGAGAAGAUGCAGAAAGUAUGGUUCCUCUUUUUUUUUUUUUUUUGGGGUGGGUGUGGGUGUGUGUGGGUGUUUUGUUUCAAAUGACAACUGAUUGAUCUAAUUGACCUCACAAAAUGCUGUUAUUGCUAUAAUUUCAGGUCGUUUGGUAUACGAUUCUAGUUCAUACGAUUGCAAAGGGGAUGUGGUAGGGAGAAACAUGCGGGGGUUGAGCUUGCUGAUUAACGUUUUUGUUAUCUCCUUGAAUUUGUACUGCAGGGUUAUUCUAAAACUUGCGAUUCUUCCCGUUGAAACCUAGCCCUCGUUUCCUUUUAUCCUUUUAAUUAUAUAUCCAUGGGAACCAAUCGCUUUCCUUCCUAUGUUUGCCUCUUCUACAUUCUAUAAUUUGGCCAUUAGAUUUAGCAUUCAAAACUACUCUAGCCCAUCAAAUCUAUCUCAAUAUCUCAAUAUCUAUAAUUUAGUUCAUCGUUUUUUUUUUAUCUUGUUAUCUUUUGAUUUUGUUGUUCAAGGUUGUUUCCUAAACUAGAUUUCUUUAGACACAUUCCUCUUUGUUUUCAGCUUGAUUUUCUCCUGUCCUUUAUUUAGCAUUCAUCACUCAUUUUCCUGUCCUUUGUGCACUCGACAUUC
rnacentral:lncRNA from 1 species